rnacentral:lncRNA from 1 species
AGAGUACCAGGUAGUUCAAAUUAUAAACAAUAGACCAGAAAUAUUCAAAAAAAUGGAUCGCUCAAUGAAACACCACUCUAUAAGCAAAAGAAAUUCAACCUCUUCGGAAAAUAAUAACUAUCUAUAAAUUGUGCAGGAUAAUCCUAACUCCAUACCCGAAAAAAAAAACCCUAAUUCACCCACAAAAGCAUCGGAAAAGCCUUGAUUUAUACCAAAAAGGAGAAAAUGAACCCAUUUCAUUAAAACCCGCCCACCUCCGACGAACUUUCGACGAAUUGAAGCCGAGAAUUGACGAAGGAAAGCUGCCAAGGUUUUACAACCUUUUGCACGCCGGAAAGUGACGUAAGCGGGAGAAGCAGGAGAGCAGCCGGCGGCGGAGAAGGGAGGUAAAAAGAGGAAGGAAAUGAAAAACGGCGUCGCUUCGUUUCUGAAAACGGGAGGUUUUUUUUCUUUUUUUCGUUUUCUUGAUUUGGUUUGGUUACUAUUAGUUGUUUUUUAUCUUUACACGAAAUAUAUAUAUAAAUAUAUAUAUAUAUAUAUAUAUAUAUAUAUAUAUAGGGUUAAUUACAUUUACCUCCCCUAAGCUUUGGCCAAACUACCAAACAAACCUUGAGGUUUGGCCAAAUAACAAUCGACCCCUUGCAAUAAACAGAUGUUUAUCAAAAACCUCCCUAACGUCCUAAGGUGUUACAAAAUCUGCUGAUGUCAGCACAAAGCUAUUGUGUUAACCCAAAUAUAUCCUUCGGGUGCCCAUUUAUCAAGACAAACUCUUAACUUCUUUUUUUUCGAAAUAAUAAAAAAGCGUUUUCUUUUUCCAUUUCUCUAUGGUAUACUAACAGAAUUGCUGCACCUUAAAGGGAGAAAAAAAAAAGACUUUGUUGUAAUGCUGUAUUUUGAAACCGCAAUUGUUAAAAGAAAAUGGGAAAAUUAACCAAAAAUUGUCAAAAAGAAGGAACGAAAAGAAAAAAUGGCAAGGAAAAAAAGAAAGGAGUGAAAUAAAAUCUAGAAAAAAAAAUCCCCUCAAAAAAUUGCCAAUAUAAAACUGUCUUCCUAUCCCGGACUGCAAAAUGGCCUUUGAACGCAUGUUCUACUCAACUGGAUCCUCUCGUGGCUUCCGCUUCCAUGAAUUACCUUCUGAUACUAGUGAUCAAGUGACUCGAACAAAGCAUCUAGCUGUUUGGAGAUUGCCUGGUGAUGGGUUUGUGAUUGGGAGGUUUCCAGGAAAAUAGAUGGGGAGAUAAGAUCCUAUUCCAUGCUCACUUUUCCCACGACUCCAUUGUUUUGCUGCAAUAGUGGUGUACAGGAUGACAAGUUUUGCUUCGAAUCAGGUCCAAAUUCUAGUUUAGAGUCAUUUUUUAUGUUAUACGCUCUAUGACAAUUCUAGUUUAGGAAUUUGUGGUUUGAAAGGAAAAUGGGUUUUCAAUUUUUAGGGAUUUUUAACGAAGUGAGUUUUGAGGAUUUUGGUAUUUGGCUUUGAUUAGGGAAUCGUUGACAUCUCCUUCUAUAGCUAUAGGUUGGUUUGUUCUUCGUGGGCAUUAUUUCCUGUGAAGUUCAUGAAUUCUGAUGGAUUUGGGUGCCAGUGGAGAAGAAGGCCACAACUGGUUACUCUUAUUUGGUAACUUUUCAAUCAAUUUUUGCGAAACUUGAGGUUCAAAUCAUGAUCCACUCUAAAUUUUGAAAUCAUCCUAUAACUUUGGCAAGAUUUCGCUAUUCAGUGGUGAUAGCCGGAGGUGGAGGUGGAGGUGGCAGUUAUGGCAGGGAAUUGCCGCUUCCAUGGCAGCUACUUUAAAAUAUUUUAAAAUUUAAUGAGGAAGAAGAUUAAUAUAAAAUUAAAAAGAAUUAAAUGGAUUUCUUAAAAGUAGAAAACGGUAUUUAGGUAUUGUCAAAUUCUUUCCUCACGGAAUUGAAAAAAAUAUAUUAGUCCAGUUGAUACCAAUUGGGCAUUUAGUCUUUAUACCAAUUCCAUCCAAAAUAUUUAACAGACGUUACUUAAAAAGGGGUAUCUGUUAUUUGGCCAAACCUCAAGGUUUGUUUGGUAGUUUGGCCAAAGCUCAGGGGAGGUAAAUGUAAUUAACCCAUAUAUAUAUAUACCUCGCCUAAGGUUAGGCCAAACUACCAAUCAAUCCCUAUGAUCUCAAAAAAUAACAGAUACCCCCUUCAAAUUUAUUUUUGUUUAACAAAAGUCACCCUAUCAUCUAAAACCGUUAGGAUUCUACUAGUGUUGGCCAAAAUUAAAGUGAAAGUCCAAAAAUGUCCUUUAAGACCCACAUGCCAUUAUGUGUCUAUUAUUUUAUUCCGAAAAUAGCCUUUCCAUCCGGAUAAAGAUUAAACGAUGAAAAUACUCUAAAAAAAUCCGUCUGAAUGUGGUCUCUUCUAGUUGUGCUUCAACAUAAACGGCUAGGGAAAAUGACCAAUUGUGUUUUUCCAAGUGAUUGAGCACUUAAUUUAUCCCUUGAAUCUUUUUUUUUUUAAGUUUAAAUCAAUCAAAUUUUGCAAAAUUUUAGUAUUAUAAUGCACAUCUCUAUACCUGGAGAUUAGUCAUUACAAUAGUAGGCCAAAUGUAAGAAACUUACUCCAGAACAGCCAAACAUAGCAUCAAUAUUGGGAACUAAUCUUCCAAAUUCUCCAAAAAUUACUUCAGAUGAAAUACUCAAGCAUCUAUCUUAAUGUUAGAUUUGCACCAGAAUGCAUAUUUUUUUGGAAGUAAACAUUAUGAGAAAACAUGCAAAUGCUCUUCACCAGAAUGCAUGUUUUUAUUACAUUAUUAGCAACACUAGAUUAAUAGCUGCUGAUAGGACUUAUGAAACAUUGCCUAAGACCUAGACAGCUAUCCAAUUAUUACUGAUACCACAGAAGACUUGCUAAAAGCAUUAAGUCAACCAAGUUUGCAACCAAAAUAAAGUACUAGUAACAUAGGACUCAAUACAUGACAUAUUAAGAUAUAAAAGAUUUUCCAGCAACUGGUGCAACAGAUGAGGUAAAAAGGCAGCCAUUAGAAUGUGCAAAUGUCUCUUCUCCAUUAGAAUUUGCAACUGGUCUUGUUCCUGCCAUAGUUGAAGCCUCUGCAGUUGCUAAUGAAUUAGGAGCAACAUUCAAUGCUGAGUUUUUGGUAGCUUUUGCCUUCAACACCUUUCUGGCAAGAUCAUUACCCAUAAGCAUGGAUGCACUUGAACUUCCAAGCAUCUCUUCUAAUGCUCUAGUAUUGGUACCACUUAUGUAAUCUAUUGACCCCUAAGUAUGAAAGUCUUUAAAUAAAUUAGUGAAAAGUCCAUUUAUUGGUCACAUAAUUCUUUAGAGAGUAAGUAAUAUAACUUGAGAAGUUUGAACAGAUUCCUGUGUUCCUCCAAAAGGAAUGUUAUCCACAAUUGACACCUGUGUUCCUCCAUGAAAUAGUCCACGUGCAGCAGCUGUUGUUGCCUCAAAUUGUUGUCCAGACAUUUUAGAACACAUUUCAUUUUUAUCUAGAUUCGGCUUCAAGGAAAAUGAAAUGCUAAAGUGAGUAAAUCUUAAUGAGUUUAAAGAUGUACCAUCCUUCCAAGCUAUCGUCACUUCAACAAGCCAAACAAUACUACUACAAUCUUUUAUUUUGUUUUGGUUAUCAUCGGGAUUAGAAAGUAAAAUAUUUAAAUAAACAAGAAGGAGUAGAAUGAUCAAACUUUAAAGAUUAAAGCUUUGAACCAUGCAUAGGAGAAAAGGUUAAUAUAGAAGGAGAGAGAGUGUAGGAGUAUGAUGAUAAAUAAGAUGAUUGCUGGAAUAGUGGUUGGAAUAGUGGCAAAUAUAUAGGAGACCUCUAUAGCUUUUCCUGCCAAAAGGCUAUUUGAGUAAUUUUAAAAUAAUUUUUUUUUUGUUUUAGAAAUUGAUCAGACAUGUUGAAGGGCAUUUAGUCUUUUUCCUUACUUCCAUUAAUCACAAGUGACGAAAGUUAUUAUGAGAGGGUAUUUGUUAUGUUUUUAAACCACGGGGAUUGAUUAGUAGUUUGGCCUAACCUUGAGGGAGGUAAAUGUAAUUAACCCAUAUAUAUAUGUAUGUAUUAUUUUUUUGAGUGAUUUUUCUCCGAUUAUAAUUUGUCUCUCCUAUAUAUAUACGAUUUUGAUGAUGGAUUGUGGAUGAAAUAUGGGGUAGUAAGUGCUAACCUACGCCGAUGGAGGACAGGAUAAAUAUCUAUUUACCGUUAUUAAUCCUUCAAGAAAGAAUAGCUACAAAGAGAGAUAGAAGGAGGGCAAAAGAUUUACUGGGAGUGGCUUGUUCGAUGAUGUCCAAAUAUUGAGAAAGAGAAAAAUUGAAAAUUCUUCGUAGAGAGAGAAGAAGGAGGAGGCCCUUUUUGUGUAUUGAUGGAGAGUUGCUUUUCGGUGUAUUUGGAUUUUGGGGUGAAGCCACCAAUUUGGUGUUCUUUUGUGAAAUGUUACGUGUACCUUCUAUUUUUGGUAUAUAAAGGGGUGAAGGAAUUAUUUAUGUUUACGUGUACUUGUAGGAAAUAUAUUUACUCUUAAGUUUUGAAUAAGGUGUAUAAACAUAUAAGUUUCUCAUUUGAAAAUUGUGCAUAUGAAGCAGGUCUGCAAUUGAAGUGAUUCAGAAAAAUGGAGUUGAGGUGAGGUUAACUUGUUUGGAUUAUUAGUUUCCGCAGAAAAUUUUUAUGUUUUGUGUGAAUGCAUUUCUCAAUCAUCUUUUUACUUUACACACAUCAAAUUGCUACAAUACAUUUUUCUAUAAAAACUCCUAAAAAUAGCAACCCAAACAGCACUGCAAUAACAGUGUAGUAAUUUCUUUACGCUAGCAAUUUUGAUUGUGUAUCAUAUGCAGAUGAUUUGAAUAUCAAAUUUGAAUUCAUGUGGCAUGAUCUAAAUCUGCUUGCGUAAAAAAAAACCUUUACACUGACAGUGUAUAAAAAUGUUAUCGUAACUUAAUCGGAUUUAUAGAUGUCAAUCACAACCCAAUUAUGUUCACUCGCCCAAAUAUAACCCGUCCAAACCCACCCAUUAAUUUUCAAUGGGUUUAAAUGGGUGCCCAAUUAAACCCAUUUAAUUAGUGGGUAGUGGAUUCACUUGCCCAUUCAUAUCAAUUUAAAAAUAAUUAUACAUUUAAACUCAACUUUUAGUGAGUGUUACGUAAAUAAAUUUGAAUUUCUUACUAAUUUAAUAACAAUAAAAUACCGUUAUAUCAAAUGGGUAAUUUGAUGUAUCCAUACUCAUUUUAAAUGAUUAUAAAUGAAUUAAUCCAAUUAUACCUACUAUCCAAUUAUGACAUGAUCCAAUUAUACUUACGAUCCAAUUAUGACCAACCCAAACCCACCCGAAUCACCAUUUUGACACCUCUAUUCAGAUUUGACCCAUAUAUAUCACCCCUAAACUUGAUUCACAUUCUAAUAUGGAGUUUGAAUUUAAGGUUACUUUAACCCAUUGAUUAAACCAAUAACCUAUGGACCCACUCUAUUUUUUUUCACAUGGACCCACUCUAUUUACUUAGCUCUUUUCUAGAUGAGGUUUAAUAACUAUGUGUAAAAUAAUGUCUUUUUUUUUGUACAUAGACCCACUCUAUUUACUUAGCUCUUUUCUAGAUGGGGUUUAAUAACUAUGUGGAAAAUAAUGUCUUAAAUUUACAUAGUGCAUAAAAGAAUUUACAAUGGUAAAUAUGCAAGUCACCUUCCGUAGUAUAAGACAUUAUUCUAUGUAUAGUUACUAACCUUGAUUGGCAAGACUUCGGUGAAUGGGAUGACUCAAUGAGCUACUAUUUAACGAGUGUGUUAGGUAGCUAAAUUGGUGGAUUAUCUUAACAACACACGAAGGAAAAGUGUCACUGUAUGCUAUAAGCAUACAGUAUCAUUUUAUAAAGUUCUUAAUUUACUUUUAAUUAUAAGGGCUUAUUUCAAAAAAAAAAUUCCAAUCCGCACAUAAUUAUUUGUUGAAAUUAUCCACUUAUUACAACUUUUUUACAACAACUCAACUCAGUAUAUAAUUAUUUGUUGAGAUUACUAAUUACAACUUUCCUAUAACAACUCAACUCAUUUUUGAGAUUAUCCACUUAUUACUUUUCUAUGUUCACUCAACUCAACUUCUAUCAUUUUUCUAUACAAUAAUAUAGACCCAACUUCUAUCAUUUUUCUAUACAAUAAUCUUUUUUAAAAAAAAAUUAGCAGGGAAGGGAUGGGAUUUAAGAAAGGGAAAGGGGCAAAGGGAUUAGAACCUAGAAUCAUAAUGUUUUGGAAUCUCAACCUUAGCCACGAAGCCAAUGCAUCCAUAGCAAAAAGGAAUUUGAUCCAAUAAAAAAUAUUUUGUUUAUAUAAUCUAGAUUAGAAAGGAAUGUGACCCAAUCAAAAGAAAACGUUAUAUACAGAUAAUUUUGAAUAUUUCAAAUUAACUACACACGCAUUAGACUGUAUAUUGAGCACUAACUAAAAUAAUAUUGGCCUAAUUAAAUAUUUCACGAUUUUUAUAAACACUAGGAUUUUGCUUGUGAGAACCCGUAAAAACCCUAAUAUUUUCUUAGGGUUUAUUUCCCCUUAAUUGCAUGUUUUCUGCAUUUUCUGGUUUAGAAAUAUUUUCUUAGUGGAUUUUAUGAGCAAUUAUAGUUUUUAGAUGAUUUUUCUAGCAUUGGAGAAAUUUUAGAAAAUUAAGAGUAAAUAGUGGACGUGGGACCCACUAGUGCGAAAAGUUCGGAAAAUUCGGCCAAUAAGGUUAAGUUUCGGAUACUGUUUAAAAAUUUAUCGGAUGUUAAGAGAUAAGUAGUGUGUGUGAAGUGAUUGAUGUGAGAGAGAAAGGAAUGAUAAGAAUGCAUUUAAUAGAGUGCCACAUGUCAUCUCCUCAUUGGAUGCCUUUUAAGAAACACUAUUCACCUUUUGACAUUUUUUUGACUUUUGACCACUUAAGUUAAUAUCUCCAAAAAUUCACAAAAAACCACCAUUCUUCACUUCUUGUUGGCCGGCCAUCCCAAGCUCCACAAGGAAGAAAGUUCAUCAAAUUUCAAGCUUCCAUUUGGUGCAAAUCAACCAAAAACAUUUGCUUCCAUCCAUUUCACUCCAUAAAAUACUAUCUUCUAGUGAUAGUAAGUUGUUUGGUGAACUUGGUUUGAAGGUUUAAGGUGUCCAACAUCCUCCUCUCUCUUGUUUCUUGGUAAGUGAUGCUUCAACCUCUCCCCUAUACCUAAUGAUGGUUAUAUUAUGCUUAGUGGUGGCAUGAGUGAAGGAUUAUAUGAUUUAUUUCUUGAUUUGAAGAGUUUUGGUGAAGUUUUUAUUUUAUUGGGAAUUUUUCUGGUUUAAUAUGAAAUGAAUGUUGUGGCCUUGUAUGAUGAAUGAUAAUGGUUGAUAAUGACUCUAUGAGGUGUAUUGGAUUGGAAAAUGCAAUCAAUUUUGGAUUUGGUGUGAAAAUUGAAAAGUUAGGGUUCAUAGAAUCCCAUUUCUGUCCGGUUUUAGAUCACUGGGUUAGAGGCCGAAUUGGACUUUGCUCAAAACAUGAAAGUUGUAGGUAUUAAUGUGUUUAAGGUGCCUGUAAAAUUUCAGGUCAUUUGGAUGAGUGUGGAGUGAGUUAUGCCGUUUCUACUGUAGCUGUUCUGCAUUGAGCAGAAUGUGAAAACUGCGAUAGUAAUUGGCCUUUUGACUGGAAUUGGUUUGGAUUUUGAAGUUGGUGUCUUCUGAUGAAAUGUAUCUGAAUGUCUUAGCUAACAUAUGCCUUUGGAAUUUCGGCAUUUGGACUUGUAUGGACUGAGAUAUACCGAUUACAGUUUUCUGCGUUUUGCAAACCUGUUUUGGGAAUUCUGGUAUAGUAUUUCGUAUAUUCGACCUAGUUAAGCUAGGAACUGGAUUGAGUGACCUUCUACAUUGUUGUAGCCCUGUUCCAUAGCUUCGAAACGGUGGGUCUUACACCCCCAACCGAUAGUUGUAGUGAGAGUUGUGCCAUUACCGCAUAAUAAGUGUAAAACAGUUUUUCCUAAUCGGGGCCAAGACUAUUGCUAAUUUUAAUUUCUGGUUUGCUAUCGUGUUCAUUUAUGCAUAUGAAACCCUAUUGGGGUUGUGUUUAGCAUUUUUGGGUGACUCGUUCUCGAGUCUCAUUGUAUGUGUUACAUGUUUUAGGGCGUGACGGUAGCUCACGACGUCUUGGUGACCACGGUGUAUGAAACACCACUUUCUCACUUGGUGAGUAUACCACUCACUAAAUUGUUACUAUGUGGCUUUGUUAAAUGUUAUGUGAUGCCUUGAUGGCUUACUUGCAUAUUGGAAUUGAUUAAGGUGAGGGUGUACUUGACCGCCCUCACCUCUUUUGAUAUUGUCAUUGAUUGGCUACCGUUUAUUGCAUUACUGAACUUGAUAUAUUGGUUGGUGAAUUCCAUUUCAUGGAAACUGAAUUGAUGUCGUUUGGACGAUGUCCAACGGCUUUACUGCAGUACUGAGCUCAACCCUGUUUGGUAGUCAAUUGGAUCGAACCGGCGAGGGCUUGGUCGUGAAGAUUGAAUUGCCACGGGGACUGUACUGGGGAACCUUGUGGUAAUGAGACCCUUGGUUCCGGUAAACUCGAGUAUUACCAAAAACUACUGAAAUGAAGUGCGGGCCCGGUUGGGGUAUGUUAGGUGGAAGGAUUGGAAGUAAAGGGUGGUCUACGGUUUGGUACUUUUAACAUUGACGGAGAGUCAAUGAGGUUGGAUCAAGAUUGCAAGCGUGGAAAUGGGCUCUUGAGAGCCGACCGUAUCCUUUUACCGUUUUGCUUCAUUGCUUAAUUGUGCACUUUAAAUGAAAGUUCAUUCUUAUAUGACUUUGAUUGCUUAUUGGGUGGUAUACCACUGGGCUUUAGCUCAUUCCGUGUUAUUUGUUUUCCUUACAGGGUGAUAAUUACUUUUGAGAAUGGAUUGGAUAGUCAAUUGCCGAAUUGAGCAUGUAAAUGUCUUUUGUAUUGCUCUUGAAGUGAAACCCUAAUGUAUAACGGGUUCAUUUCCUUUUGAUAGGCAAAUCGAAUGUGUACUUCCUUAGUGAAUGGUUUUGGCUUGCCGUUGUGGCUUGUAAAUGGCUAAUGUUAUGUUGUAUAUGUAUUUCGAUGCUUGGUUGGGUUUCGGACGGGUCGGUUACUAUUCAUGGCCGACUCUGGAGUUCGUUUCUUUUAUUUUGGGAUAUUUUGCCCUUUUGCCUUGUUGCGCGCGUUAUAAGUUUCAAACGUGAUAGAUCGCUUUAUACUGCACCGUUAGUCCUGGCGAGAGCUGGGCAGGCAGUCCGCUAACCUCUUUGGUUCGCCUUAGGGGAAGGUGGGGCUGUCACAGGUGGUAUCAGAGCCUAGGUUUGAAUUAGCCUGGGUGUUAUAGGAAUGCUUGAUCUGAGGGUUUAUUGUUUAUGGUCUUUAAGCUUAUUGAUUCUUAUUUAUUUACACUUUUGGUGUAGGAUGGACAGUUCCAGUGGACCUAGUGAUGGCCCUGCGGCCAAGCGACCCUCGUGUAGCGCUCCCGAUGAUUAAGUACCAGAUCCGGCCAAAGGGGGCCGUUAUUCGUUGGAGCCCGUCUAACCGUCUUCGGCGGUGCGCGUGUAAAGAGAAGUAUGCUUACCCGAAUGCCCUCGUUUUGGCAGUUGUGAAGGAAAGAAAGGAGCUGGCAAAAGCUAAUGCCAAGCUUGAGGUUGAGGUGAAUCAGUUAAAGGCGGCCAACGAGGGGCAAGCCAAAAGGAUAGAGGAUCUGAAGUAUGAUGUACUUGAGGCGGAGGAUAGAGUCGAUGACCUCUGUGCCCAGCUGAGGGAGGCGCGUGAGCGCGAGUCUAAGAGGGCUCGGAAGGUGAGGACUCGAGCCGCUGCAAUCCUAAACCUCUGUGCCGAGGUGGUGGAAGGAGUGAGCGAUAAGGACUCCUGUGCGGGGUCUGAGGCUAGGGUUGGAUCCACUCCGUCGAGUGGGUCUCAUAGCUCAUCUUCGGGCUAGAUUAUGACUCCUAGAGUUGUUAUAGAUAGUUUUGGUCUUGUGUAUAGGGUGGAUAGGGAUAGAGCCUUAGCUAACCGUUUUGGAUGUAGGGUUAGCUACGUGUAAAUCUCUUUUGAUAGGCCUAUCCUCAGGUGGAUCUUUUGUGUACGUACGUGCUUUGGCCGUACUUGACUGACUGCUUGUAUAUAUAUGUUUGGCUUGUAUCUAUGUGUGCUUGUGGCCCUGUGUGAAAUGUAUCAAUAUGUGUUAUGUGAAAGUUUAUGUGUUACUUACCUGCUUUAUUACUGCUUUGGUUUAGUACUCUUGCCUAGACAAAGUAUACCCUAUGGAAGGAACACGAAGUGGUCGGGGACGCGGGCGCGGAACUAGACAAACCGCACCGGUUAGGGAAACGGGGGAACCCUCUACUGGACCUAACCCUGGACCGCAAUUAGACCCCAAUGUACAAAUAGCUGCUGCCAUGCAGCAAAUGACCAACCUACUCGCACAAGUAGUGCAACAACAGGGCCAGAACCCAAACCCUAACCCCGGAAACCCUGGCCAUCAUGUCGAGAGUGAAGAUAGAGCGCUAGAACGGUUUCAAAAGUUUUCUCCGCCAAAGUUUAUUGGGGGACCCGACCCUGAUGUUGCUGAGAAAUGGCUUGAGAAAAUGGUUGAUAUAUUCGCGGCCCUACACUACCCGGACGAACGGCAGGUCACUUUUGCCGUGUUUCAACUUGAAGGGGCUGCCCGUUCCUGGUGGAACGUAAUUAGGCAGAAAUGGGAGCGGGAGCAGACACCGAGGACUUGGGUGAACUUCAUCCGGAAUUUAAUGCCAAGUUUUUCCCUCCUUUAGUCCAGGAGAGGAAGGAGGACGAGUUUAUCCGGCUCCGGCAAGGGGCUCAGACGGUGGCGGAGUACGAGAGCCAGUUUACCCGCCUGUCCAAAUUCGCGCCUGAACUGAUCAUGACUGAGCAACGACGGGUGAGGCGCUUCAUUCAGGGUUUGAAUGUGGAGAUCCAGAAAGACCUCGCGGCGGCUCAAAUCACUACAUUUAGCGAGGCAAUGGAGAAGGCCCAACGGGUUGAGAGUGCACGGCUUCAGGUCCGAAACUUCCAGGCUAAAAAGCGUGGUUUUCCUGGGAGUACAUCUGGACAGGGUGAGAAGAGCACUCCCUCUAAGUUUGGACGAGGCAUGGGAGGUGGUCGACAAUCUGGAUCAGGCAGAGGGACUCCGUUCAGGGGCGGCCAAGCUGGGCGAGGACAAAGGGGAAACACCCAGAGUGGCUCGGCUUCGGCACCUCGUGGUCCCUGUGGGCACUGUGGAAAGACAAACCACACCGAGGACAAUUGCUGGAGGAAACUGGGAAAUGUCUGCGGUGUGGAAGUGCGGACCAUCAGCUGGCUACAUGUCCGGUCCUGAAACAAGACGGAAAGGGAGCCAACUACCGUCGAGGACCAAUACUGGACCAGCCAAGGGAGACGGAUCCAAGCCUAAAGUUCCAGCUAGGGUAUAUUCCUUAGAGCCUCACCAGUCCAGAGUCUUCCGAGGUGGUGGAAGGUACGAUCCCUAUUUUCCACCGCUUUGCCAAAGUUUUAAUUGAUCCUGGUGCCACUCAUUCGUUUGUUAACCCUGAUUUCAUGUGUGGCAUCGAUAUAAAACCUGCUAGUUUGCCAUAUGAUUUAGAGGUUAGUACACCUACGGGGAAUCAACGUUUGGUGACUAGUAUGGUCUAUAGGGAUUGUGAUGUAUGGGUAGGUGAAAGGAGGUUUUUAGGGGACUUGAUUAGCUUAUCCAUUAAGGGGUACGAUGUGAUUUUGGGUAUGGACUGGUUAGCCAAAUAUAACGCCCAACUGGACUGUAAAACGAAAAUAGUUAGAAUUUCGCAUUCCUGGCGAGGCAACCUUAAGGUUGGAUAUAAGGGGUAGGUUAGCCUCAUCUGCUCUCAUUUCGGGCAUUCGAGCUAGGAAAUUGAUAAGUAGAGGGGCGCAAGGAUUUUUGGCCUUCUUAAUUAAUACCCCUACGGAUAAGUUAAAGGUAGAAGAUGUGACCAUAGUGAGGGACUUUCCAGAUGUUUUUCCUGACGAGUUAGUAGCCCUACCGCCGGAAAGAGAGAUAGAAUUUUGAAUUGACCUUUUACUUGGAACUGCACCUAUCUCAAAAACCCCUUACCGAAUGGCGCCUGCAGAACUUAAGGAGCUUAAGUUGCAAUUGCAAGAUCUGUUGGAGCGCGGUUUCAUUCACGAGAGUGAGUCUCCUUGGGGAGCUCCUGUUCUAUUUGUAAAGAAAAAGGAUGGAACCUUGAGAAUGUGCAUUGACUAUCGGGGUCUAAAUAAUGUAACGAUCAAGAAUAAUUAUCCACUGCCCCACAUCGACGAGUUGUUCGACCAGUUGCAAGGAGCAGUGGUCUUCUCCAAGUUGGACCUCCGACAGGGAUACUACCAGUUGUCGAUUAGGAAGGAGGACAUUCCGAAAACUGCUUUCAAUUCAAGAUACGGGCAUUACGAGUUCGCCGUUAUGCCCUUUGGACUGACUAAUGCUCCCGCCGCUUUCAUGGACCUAAUGCAUAGGGUUUUCAAACCCUACCUGGACCGAUUUGUCGUGGUGUUCAUUGACGACAUUUUGGUCUACUCUAAGACACGUGAGGAGCAUGAGGAACAUUUGAGAGUGGUGUUGCAGACCCUGAGGGAACAUCAGCUGUAUGCCAAGUUUAGUAAAUGCGAGUUCUGGUUGGAGAAAGUAGCGUUUCUAGGGCACGUGAUCUCCCACGAAGGUAUUUCGGUGGACCCGGCGAAGGUUGAGGCCGUGACAAAUUGGAAGAGGCCCGAAACCCCCACGGAGAUUCGCAGCUUUCUAGGGUUAGCUGGAUACUACCGAAGGUUUAUUAAGGAUUUUUCCAAACUAGCAGGACCUUUAACUGACUUGACAAAGAAGCAUGGCCAGUUUAUCUGGAACGGCCGAUGCGAAACGAGUUUUCAGGAAUUAAAGAAAAGAUUGACCAUGGCUCCAGUACUGGUCUUGCCAAAUGGAGUGGACGGGUUUGCAGUAUAUGCGGACGCGUCGCGAGAAGGAUUGGGUUGCGUUUUGAUGCAGAACCGGAAUGUGAUAGCUUUCGCCUCUAGGAAAUUGAAGCUUCACGAGCAGAACUACCCGACUCACGACCUGGAAUUAGCCGCUGUUGUAUUUGCUCUGAAAAAGUGGAGGCAUUACCUAUAUGGGGUGACCUUCGAAGUGUAUUCGGAUCACAAGAGUCUGAGAUACCUUUUCUCCCAGAAGGAGCUGAACAUGAGGCAACGAAGGUGGAUGGAAUUCCUGGAAGAUUACGACUGUACGAUCAAUUACCAUCCGGAAAAGGCAAAUGUGGUAGCAGAUGCCUUGAGUCGUAAGGUGCAAGUAGCAGGGCUAAUGAUUAAGGAGUGGGAUUUGCUAGAAUCCGUGUGCGAGUGGCAACCCUGUUUGGGGAGCCAUAAGGUGAUAUUUGGCAAUAUUAGGGUUACAUCCACUCUACUGGAACGUAUAAAAGAGGCGCAAGGCGAGGAUUUGAUGGUACGGAAGUGGAGAGAGAAAGUGGAGAAGGGAGAAACUACGGACUUUAAUUUGAGUCCUGAGGGUAUUUUGAAAUACCGAAAUCGAAUGGUGGUACCAAAGGAUGAAUCGUUGAAAGCAGAAAUUCUGGAGGAAGCUCAUCGGUCCAAGUAUACAAUCCAUCCGGGUAGCAGCAAGAUGUAUCAAGACUUGAAAGGGACCUAUUGGUGGGAUAAUAUGAAGAGGGAAAUAGCUCAAUACGUGCAGAAAUGUCUUAUUUGCCAGCAAGUGAAGGCAGAGCAUCAAAAACCAUCGGGUCUAUUACAACCCUUGGAGAUACCCGAAUGGAAGUGGGAAAACAUCACAAUGGACUUCGUUUCCGGUUUACCGAGGACGCAAAGGGGACACGAUACCGUUUGGGUGAUCGUUGAUCGAUUAACCAAGUCGGCCCAUUUCUUGCCAGUAAACAUGAAAUAUUCAAUAGACAAGUUGGCUUGGCUGUACAUGGAUGAGGUUGUAAGACUACACGGAGUGCCUGUGAGCAUCGUCUCCGAUCGGGAUCCACGGUUUGUAUCACGAUUUUGGCAGAAAUUCCAAGAAACCUUGGGGACUAAACUCAAUUUGAGCACUACCUAUCAUCCUCAGACGGAUGGCCAGUCAGAACGGACAAUUCAAACUCUCGAGGACAUGCUACGAAUGUGCAUUCUGGACUUUGGAGGCAACUGGGGUCAGCACAUGACUUUAGUAGAGUUUGCGUACAACAAUAGCUUCCAUUCGUCGAUUCAAAUGGCUCCGUACGAGGCUCUUUACGGACGCAAGUGCCGCUCACCGAUUUACUGGGAUGAAGUUGGUGAAAAGAAAGCGCUAGACCCGACAACCAUUCCAUGGAUGGAAGAGGCUCAGGAAAAGAUCAAGUUGAUUCGGCAACGACUUCAAACAACUCAGAGUCGACAAAAGAGCUACGCGGAUAAUCGAAAAAAAGAUUUGGAAUUUGAAGUUGGAGACCAUGUAUUUCUCAAAAUCACACCCUUACGAAGUCUUACAGCGGGGAAAGGAAAGAAGCUUCAACCGCGGUACGUCGGACCCUACAAGAUCCUUCAGAGGGUUGGAGCGGUCGCAUAUCGAUUGGAACUACCGUCUAGUCUUUCUCGAAUCCAUGAUAUAUUUCAUGUGUCAAUGCUAAAGAAGUACCAUCCUGACCCAUCCCAUGUAUUGCAACCGGAGGAUAUCGAAGUGGAUGAAUCACUGGCCUACGAAGAGAAACCGGUUCAAGUACUCGAUCGAAAAGUCAAAGAGUUCCGAAACAAGAAGAUUCCGCUAGUGAAAGUGCUAUGGAGAAACCACGGAGUGGAGGAAGCUACCUGGGAGAUGGAAGAGGAAAUGCGAAAGAAAUACCCAAACCUUUUCGGGAAUUAAGGUGAGAAAUUUCGAGGACGAAAUUCUUUUAAGGGGGGGAGAGUGUGAGAACCCGUAAAAACCCUAAUAUUUUCUUAGGGUUUAUUUCCCCUUAAUUGCAUGUUUUCUGCAUUUUCUGGUUUAGAAAUAUUUUCUUAGUGGAUUUUAUGAGCAAUUAUAGUUUUUAGAUGAUUUUUCUAGCAUUGGAGAAAUUUUAGAAAAUUAAGAGUAAAUAGUGGACGUGGGACCCACUAGUGCGAAAAGUUCGGAAAAUUCGGCCAAUAAGGUUAAGUUUCGGAUACUGUUUAAAAAUUUAUCGGAUGUUAAGAGAUAAGUAGUGUGUGUGAAGUGAUUGAUGUGAGAGAGAAAGGAAUGAUAAGAAUGCAUUUAAUAGAGUGCCACAUGUCAUCUCCUCAUUGGAUGCCUUUUAAGAAACACUAUUCACCUUUUGACAUUUUUUUGACUUUUGACCACUUAAGUUAAUAUCUCCAAAAAUUCACAAAAAACCACCAUUCUUCACUUCUUGUUGGCCGGCCAUCCCAAGCUCCACAAGGAAGAAAGUUCAUCAAAUUUCAAGCUUCCAUUUGGUGCAAAUCAACCAAAAACAUUUGCUUCCAUCCAUUUCACUCCAUAAAAUACUAUCUUCUAGUGAUAGUAAGUUGUUUGGUGAACUUGGUUUGAAGGUUUAAGGUGUCCAACAUCCUCCUCUCUCUUGUUUCUUGGUAAGUGAUGCUUCAACCUCUCCCCUAUACCUAAUGAUGGUUAUAUUAUGCUUAGUGGUGGCAUGAGUGAAGGAUUAUAUGAUUUAUUUCUUGAUUUGAAGAGUUUUGGUGAAGUUUUUAUUUUAUUGGGAAUUUUUCUGGUUUAAUAUGAAAUGAAUGUUGUGGCCUUGUAUGAUGAAUGAUAAUGGUUGAUAAUGACUCUAUGAGGUGUAUUGGAUUGGAAAAUGCAAUCAAUUUUGGAUUUGGUGUGAAAAUUGAAAAGUUAGGGUUCAUAGAAUCCCAUUUCUGUCCGGUUUUAGAUCACUGGGUUAGAGGCCGAAUUGGACUUUGCUCAAAACAUGAAAGUUGUAGGUAUUAAUGUGUUUAAGGUGCCUGUAAAAUUUCAGGUCAUUUGGAUGAGUGUGGAGUGAGUUAUGCCGUUUCUACUGUAGCUGUUCUGCAUUGAGCAGAAUGUGAAAACUGCGAUAGUAAUUGGCCUUUUGACUGGAAUUGGUUUGGAUUUUGAAGUUGGUGUCUUCUGAUGAAAUGUAUCUGAAUGUCUUAGCUAACAUAUGCCUUUGGAAUUUCGGCAUUUGGACUUGUAUGGACUGAGAUAUACCGAUUACAGUUUUCUGCGUUUUGCAAACCUGUUUUGGGAAUUCUGGUAUAGUAUUUCGUAUAUUCGACCUAGUUAAGCUAGGAACUGGAUUGAGUGACCUUCUACAUUGUUGUAGCCCUGUUCCAUAGCUUCGAAACGGUGGGUCUUACACCCCCAACCGAUAGUUGUAGUGAGAGUUGUGCCAUUACCGCAUAAUAAGUGUAAAACAGUUUUUCCUAAUCGGGGCCAAGACUAUUGCUAAUUUUAAUUUCUGGUUUGCUAUCGUGUUCAUUUAUGCAUAUGAAACCCUAUUGGGGUUGUGUUUAGCAUUUUUGGGUGACUCGUUCUCGAGUCUCAUUGUAUGUGUUACAUGUUUUAGGGCGUGACGGUAGCUCACGACGUCUUGGUGACCACGGUGUAUGAAACACCACUUUCUCACUUGGUGAGUAUACCACUCACUAAAUUGUUACUAUGUGGCUUUGUUAAAUGUUAUGUGAUGCCUUGAUGGCUUACUUGCAUAUUGGAAUUGAUUAAGGUGAGGGUGUACUUGACCGCCCUCACCUCUUUUGAUAUUGUCAUUGAUUGGCUACCGUUUAUUGCAUUACUGAACUUGAUAUAUUGGUUGGUGAAUUCCAUUUCAUGGAAACUGAAUUGAUGUCGUUUGGACGAUGUCCAACGGCUUUACUGCAGUACUGAGCUCAACCCUGUUUGGUAGUCAAUUGGAUCGAACCGGCGAGGGCUUGGUCGUGAAGAUUGAAUUGCCACGGGGACUGUACUGGGGAACCUUGUGGUAAUGAGACCCUUGGUUCCGGUAAACUCGAGUAUUACCAAAAACUACUGAAAUGAAGUGCGGGCCCGGUUGGGGUAUGUUAGGUGGAAGGAUUGGAAGUAAAGGGUGGUCUACGGUUUGGUACUUUUAACAUUGACGGAGAGUCAAUGAGGUUGGAUCAAGAUUGCAAGCGUGGAAAUGGGCUCUUGAGAGCCGACCGUAUCCUUUUACCGUUUUGCUUCAUUGCUUAUUUGUGCACUUUAAAUGAAAGUUCAUUCUUAUAUGACUUUGAUUGCUUAUUGGGUGGUAUACCACUGGGCUUUAGCUCAUUCCGUGUUAUUUGUUUUCCUUACAGGGUUAUAAUUACUUUUGAGAAUGGAUUGGAUAGUCAAUUGCCGAAUUGAGCAUGUAAAUGUCUUUUGUAUUGCUCUUGAAGUGAAACCCUAAUGUAUAACGGGUUCAUUUCCUUUUGAUAGGCAAAUCGAAUGUGUACUUCCUUAGUGAAUGGUUUUGGCUUGCCGUUGUGGCUUGUAAAUGGCUAAUGUUAUGUUGUAUAUGUAUUUCGAUGCUUGGUUGGGUUUCGGACGGGUCGAUUACUAUUCAUGGCCGACUCUGGAGUUCGUUUCUUUUAUUUUGGGAUAUUUUGCCCUUUUGCCUUGUUGCGCGCGUUAUAAGUUUCAAACGUGAUAGAUCGCUUUAUACUGCACCAUUAGUUCUGGCGAGAGUUGGGCAGGCAGUCCGCUAACCUCUUUGGUUCGCCUUAGGGGAAGGUGGGGCUGUCACAUUGCUCACAUAAGGGAACGGGAUAAGAACAAGAAAAAAUAUGAUAGAAACAUUUAUUAAAAUAUGUGUAAACAAAUUUUAUUUAAUUUUUGAUAAAUUUUAAGACAAUCAAUUACCUCUAGAGUUCGAAACAAAAUCAAUUCGAAGAAAAACAAUAUAUACUUUUUACAUAAAUGAGUUGCCUAUGCUUAGAUAUAUGAUUAUGUAUACAUAAAAAUGAUAUCAUAUAUCUCUUCAUAAGGAAUACGUGGUUAGUUUGUGAAAAUAGUUUAUGCAUUUCUUAUUACAAACCUUUUUUAUAGUAGUUUUUGUCUUAGGAAUGAACUGUAGUAUUAUCUCAUUUUGAUGAUUCAUUCAUAACCUUUAAAAUAAAAAUAAGUUUAAUGAAAGACUUGGAUAAGCAAUUUAAGGAGGCUUUUGAAAAAUAUUAUUUGAAUGGAAAUGAAGAAGUUGAAUAGUUGAAGAGUUUGUUAAUUUCUAGAAUCUAAACAAUGUACUUAUAGACAUCUAUAAUAAUAAUAAUAAUAAUAAUAAUAAUAAUAAAGAAAAAUAAUUGAGCCAAGUGGUUAUAAUAUAGAAAGAAAGAUUUGGUUAAUGGAUAGACAUGAUUCCAAGCUAAUAGAACAUGGAUUUGUUUGGGAUGACAAUAGGACAGAUUUAGAACCAAGAAUUCUCUUUUAUCGCCCCUUCCGCUCUCAAUAUCCCUCGAGUACCCAUUUAAUUUUAUUGGUUUGCUUUUCUUCCCUUUUUAUUUACUAUUUUGUGAACCUUAAUUGCUUAUUUCUUCUACUCUCAAGUGAUAUUGCUCUCUCACUAAUUGUUUCAUUGAGUGGUCACCUAGAAAAGAGGAUAAAUUUCACAUUGAACAAAAAAGGUGUCCUUUAACUUGAUUAGUUUUUAAAUAAUCUAAUUCACCUCCUCUUAAGUUAUCUUCGAUCCUAACAAACUUUAUUCACGGGUUGACUAAUUUACUAACUCACUGUCGCGCCCUAUUUUUUUGAAAAAAUAAGAUUACAAGUUUAUAAAAAUAAAUUUUGAUUAAUUUUGAGUGAAAAUGAGUUUUGAUUUUUAGAGAAUAAAUAAAAAAAAGGGCCUAAAAUGUGACUUAAAAAGUGCGACGAUUUUGGACCAAAACAAUAGUUUAAAAAGGGUUUUUUAAGAAAAAUAGGAGUCGUCAUUUGGUAUUUAGUUAACGUGUACCAAAUCACCUAAAAAUAAGUUUUUGAAAAACAAGAUAAAGGAGUUCGGGAGUCACGGUUGAAAAAAGGGAAGACAAGGAUAAAAUUCAAGGCACUCUUUCAAUCUAAUCAAAACUAGUUGCGUGAUUUAGUCGAAAAUUUUUUUAGUUUGACCUUUACAACUUAUCACAUUUGGUUGUUACUAUAUGAAUGCAAAUCUAGACCUAAUGGCUAUCGGAGGGUCAAUAUGUCUCUCCGAAUUUUAGUUGGUGCAAAUCAUAUUAAUUGCGACGUCCAAAAGUGAUUCUUUGAAGAGGUCAUGAAUAUGCAACAAUGAGACUUGAAAAAAUAGAAAAAUUAUAAUAUAUAAAUAUACGUGACCUAAAAGAGAGAGAUGCAACAUAACGGGUACGGGAGUUAACAUUCGUGACUCAAUUGUCCCUCUUAUAGAGGGAAUACGAACUUGUUAAGGUUAAGGAGUCAUACUCGUCUAUAUCCCAUAUUUAAAGGGUACUCUCUAACCUAAUCAAGCAAAUACACUAACCUAUUUCUAAAUUUUCUUAAAUGGAAUGCAAGUCUAAAUGUCAUGCUUCAUACAUGAGAAUAAGGGAUAUACAUAUAGGGGAAAUAUCAUGCAAAAUGAUAAAAAAUCCUAAAAAGUAGAAAAUAUACAUGAAAUGUAGUGAUUGUCAUGCAAGCAUAAUCUAGGGCGUGGACAGUCCCUAAGAGUCUAGCAUUGGACUAACACAUGUCUAUGAGUUCUCACUAGCAUUGGACUAGUGAGAAAUCGGAACAAAGAACCACAACUAACGUUGGACUAGUGUGGUAAUGUCAGGCAUUUAUUAUAAUCAAAUAAAUCAUAUAAAACAUAAUAAAAGCGAGUAAAACAUAAAUCACAUAGAGCACACAACACAUAAACAUGAUAUCUAGAUGCAACGACUCUUAGAAAGCGAGUAAACGUGUAAACAUAUAAGCACACAAACAAAUAAAAGCAAAUAGAGAUCUAACUAUUACAUUCAGGGCCCUAACUACAAUCUAAGGGGGAGAAAGAAUAAAAUAAUAAAAUAAUAUUCUAACUAUUACAUUUAUCUAACUAAAUACAUUUUUUGGCAAAAUUAAAACCUAUCUAUUACAUAAUCUAUUUAAAUACAUGUCUUGAACCCCUAACUAUUACAAUUUGGCAAUUAAAUGCCUCUCAAAUAAUUUACUAAAAUCAAAUAAAUGAAUAACACUAAAAAUAAAUAAAACAAGAAAAUUAAAACAUGCAAUUACAUGCAAUAAACACGUAGGAUCAAGUAAAAAUCAAACUAAGGGGUAGAGUGUACCUCCCUUGAAUUGGUGGCUUAACGAAAUGCAAUUUCUCUUAUUUACUCUUCAAAACAGAGAAAAUGAUCAAGGCACCAAUUUAUUUGACAAAUAAAUCAUAAGGAAAUGGAAAUAAAUAUGAAAUCUAUCAAUUUAAGCAUUCAAAUGAAAUAUAAUUAAAAAAUAAAAAAUAAAAGUAACUUCUAUCUAAGAAAUCAAACAAACAAGGACUUAAUUGCAAACAUUGAAAAAAUUUUAAGGGCUAAAUUAUUAUUAUUACAAAACUUUGGGAUCAAAAUUAAAGAGAAAUAAAAUUAAGGGCUCAAAGAUAAAGCUUACCAAACCCAAUGCCAAAAUUCACAAAAAUAAAUCAAAACCCAUUUGCUCCACUUGCUAAAAUUAAACAACAAAAAGUAUCACCUAACUCUUUAAUUCUUUUGAUAAAAUCCAAAUCAAAACUAUAAAUUUAUCAAAAUUAUUAAAUCUCAAGUUUCAUCAUAAAACUCAUAAAUAAUCUGUUCAAAAUCAAAUUAAAGCAUGCCAAAGAAAGUUAAAAUUUUAAAGAGACAAGAUUGAUUGAUUUUUACAAUUCUCUAGGCCACAGGAUGAUUAUACAAAAAUAUAGAGGUCAAAGUGCAAUUUAUGAAACUUUUCAUGCAUCUCCUUCGAAGAAGAGCUUUUGCAACUUUCUGAUGCUUUGAAAUUUUAGCAAUCCUUAUGCGGCAAUCUUAAACAAGAAAACAGCCUCAAAUUCUCGUUAAACUCCCUGAACCCAUCAUCAAGAUGCAAUACUAAGCACACAAAAGAAAGUAAAAUCUAAGAUGGGGGAAAAUCUUGCAAACCCCAGAUUCAUUCACGAAACUUUUUACAAAUCUCUGGGUCUGUUACCAACUAAAAGAAAACGUGGGAUAAUCUCUACACAAAAAGUCUCAUGACCCACAAUAACACAGGACCCAGAUGCAAUGGUAUGGGGCAAAGAUCUAAACCAACAACUCGUAUGAAAACGGAAUAAUCGAAGAAAGAAAAGAAAGAACAUGAAACCAGAAAAAACUAAAUACCGUAGCAUAAAUUUUUUACAUAUUAAUGUCAAUCUGAGUAUGUGUAGGCCAAAAAAAGUUACAUUGAAGACUUUAACACUAGAUAUAUGGAGAAACGUGGGCUUUGCACAAUCAAAGAUUAAAAGUUUGCUUCUUUGAAUUUGACUGCGGGAGUUUAAGGGUUGGUGGGUUCGUCACUUUGAGCUUGGAUUUGGCAAGCCUAGAGCUGUUUUCUCCUAGAAAUUUGUGAACGAAGUUUCUUCUAUUGUCUCCCAAGAGAGCGCAGAAGCCAAAAAAUCCCACAAAAAACUAUAAUUGAAGCAGAAAUCUGGCCCCGAAACAGGCUAGUUCGUCAGCCUGGUUAUAGGUUUUGCAGAAAAUUUUUUUGCACUUUUUCUGAAUUUCCUCUCUCUUUUCUUUCUGUUUUUCUUUGUUCCGCCUCCUACUCUCUCUCUUUUGUCCUCAAAUUCCUUCUCUCCUUUUCUUUUCUUCCUCCCUUUCUUUCUCUCUUUCUCUCUUCCUUCCCUCUUCCAGAAACCCUCUUUUCCUUUUUCUGUUUUUUAGCCGCCACUCCUCUCUCCCUUUCUUUCACUUUUCUUUUCUCUCUCCCUUUCUCCUUGUUUCCUUUCUUUCUUGUUCCUUCUCUGAUCUUCCCAGUUUUCCUCUCAUUCCUCCCUAUCUCUUUGUAGUUUCUCUCACUUUCUUGCUCCCCUAGAUUCUCUCUUGUUUCCCUCUCUCAGUUUUUCCUUUUUUUUGUAAAAAAAAAAAAAAAAAUCUCCUUCUUCCCCCUAGCCGAAAACCCUCCGUUUUCCUUUUUCUGGUUUCUUUCUUUCCUUCUUGCUUAUUUUCCUCUUGCCCGCUGCCCCUUUCUUUCUUGCUUGCUUGUUCCAGAUUCUCCUUCCUCCUUUCUUGUUCUUCAGCCUUUCUUUUUGCAUUCUUUUCCUUCCCGCAGUCCUCUCUUGCUCUCAGCCCCAACCCUUUUUUCUUUUCUUUCUUUCUUGUCUUUCCCCUACUGCCCUGAAGCUUCCUUCCUUCCCUCUUUUUUUGUUUUCCAGAUUUUUCUCCUUUUAUUUUUCAAAAUUUUCCCCAUCUUUCACCUGUCUUGCCACCUAUCCUUUAAAUAUGUUGUAUGCAAAAUGCCAAAGUCACAUGGCUAAUGCUUACCUAUCCCACUUAGCUACUAUGCACGUCUUCCACCUAUUUUUUUUUCUUUUUAUUAUUAUUAUUAUUUUUUAUUACAAAUUUAGGGUAAACAAAAUAUUAAUUCCUAAUUGAGAUCGCCUUACAAAAAAUUUCAUUCUAUUUGGAAGAAAUUGAGCUUGAAAAGGUUAAAAUAAAUUUUUGUUGAGAAUUUUCUUUUUCAGAAAUUUAAUGCAAAAUGUUUUAAAAAGAAAAAUAAUGAACCUAAUUUACUAAAAUAAAUAAAAAUAAACACUAACUAUCAUUUUGCAAACUUAGUCAACUAAAAUAAAAUACAAUAAAAUAAAAUUUUGGUGUCUACAACUUGCCUCUCUUUGUCUGAGUUUCGAAAAAACUCGAAAUACAGACGUAGACACCAAAUAUUUACCUGUAGUUACUUUACUGCGAACUGAAACAAGCAAAUGUAUAAACGUCAAUGGGAAUAAAACCCAAAUCUGUUGUAACAAUUAGUCAGUGGGAUAAAAUCCGAACCUGCCAUAAAAUUAAUCAGUAGAAUAAAACCUAACCCUGCCGAAAAUUGGUAAGUGAGAUAAAACUCGAGUCUGCUAAAAAGUUGGUCAGUAGGAUAAAACUCGAGCCUGCUACAAAAUUGGUUAGUGGGAUAAAACCCGAGUCUAUCAUAAAAUUGGUAAAUUAUUGCAGAAUGUCUUUCGAAAAUUUUGAUAGAGACAGAUGACUUCUCCUAAAAAAAUUUGUCCCAAUCUGAUGUUAUUAGACUUUGGGAUCUGCAAAAGCGGAAUAAUUAUAAUAAUAAGAUAAUGCCACCACCAUCCAAUCAACCCCACUUUCGAAAAAUGUGUAAACAUGAGUAUUUGAACGUUCUUCCCCGAUUUAGUGAAAACUUAACUUUGUUUUGCGAACUGUAUCAAGUUUUUAUAACUUUCGAUGCUAAUGAAAUAUGAUAUUUAGUAUCCAGAUACUUUCAAUAAAUCACAAGAAUUGUCAUUUGGUAAACCCAAAAAGAUAAAUGAGACCAUGAAACAUAUGAAAAAGUAUUUUAUGCACACAAAAAUGAUGAAAAUCUCAGUAAUCAUAAAAACAACUAUUUACCUUUAUUGGAAGAAAAUUCAUUUUAGAGAAAUGAACCUGUUAACAUAACAGUUUAUACUUGAUAAACCAAAACACUUUGAUCCCAAAUAAAAUACCACGUUUGACCCUUUGGAUAUCAUUCCUCCGGAAUUCAACGCUGGCAACAGAACUAGAACCGUGAAGAAAAACUCAAAUGAACUGAGUCACCAGCCAUUCAAUUCCAUGUUCACUUUUUCUCAUAAAACCCUACCUUAGUGCCCUUUCGGGUUUUCACUAAAGCUACCCCUACCUUUUUAUUUUUCUUUUCAUUUCAUUUUUUUUCUUUUGCUUCUCUUCUUUUUCUUUUUCUUUUCUUUUUCUCUUUUCCUUUUUUAGAAGGUGCCCUUUUGGAUUUUCACCUAAUAAACAAAUUUUUUUGAUAGUCUUAUCAAUUCAGAAAUGUGUUUUGAUGGCAACAAUGCGACAAUCAUUCCCUUGCAAAAUUGGUGAAGGUGUAUUGACAUCAUUUGUUAUGUGAUUAGAAAAUUUCCUGAAAGAGGUGAUGUAAAAAACGGAAGUCAGGACUUUCAGUUUUUUGUAAUGUGAUCAGGUGAGGUGCUAAGAAAAGAUUAAGUCUCGAAAGCAGAUUUUAUAAGUGUUUAAAUCAUCUGAGAUCGCAUCUUCACAUUAACCCUACUAAAAUUAAACUAAAAUUGCUCUCAUUUAUUUUCAAUCGAAGUUCUUUUCUUUAAUUUUCUUUUUAUUUUGUUCCUCUAUCACUUUUCACCUCUUAAGACUUUUUUUUUCUUUUCUUUCAACUCAAACUUACCCCAGUAUGGGGUUUGCAAUUCUCAGGGGUUGCCAAACAAAAUAAUUUAUUCUGAAAAUUCAAAAGAGAUAACUAGAGAUAGAAUAUUUAAUUGAAAAGGAAGAAGGCUUGACUUUGAUUCCAUACUUCGCAUUAACCCUGAAAGGAAACUUUCAUUUAUCAGAUGAAAAAUUUCUUACACAUAUCUGAAUUGAUCGGUUGAGGAAAACUUGUCUAUCCAUUUCUGCUAGAACAAGUACUCCACCAGGCAAUACCUUCUUGACGAUAAAAGAGCCUUGCCAAUUUGGUGCAAACUUGCCUUUCGCCUCCUCUUGCACUGACAAAAGUCGUUUCAACACUUUGUCUCCUUCUGCGAAUAGUUGCAGUUUGACCUUCUUGUUGUAAGUACGGGUCAUUCUCCUUUUUUGCUUCUUAUUUAAAUAAAUGCUAAUUUUUUAUUUCCUUGACCCCGAUCUUAGUGUCAAUAUUAAUGAUUUCUGUUUCUUCUAAAUUCAAUUUGAAUUUCUCUUCAUAUUGUUCAAGAUUUUUUAACAGAAACUCAGAUUCUUCCUCGUUAUAACUCUCGUCUUGAAUUUCGGAUUUCAUAAUUUCGAAUUUGUGAGAGAUAUCAAAAUUGCAGUCAUCAAAUUCCGAAAUAAUGAUAUCCAAAGGGUCAAUAUGUUUUAUUUUUGACCAUCUAAAAAAAUGAGAUAGAUAUAAUAAUGUGUAAGUAAAACAAUUGAAAAAUGAAUAUUGUGCAUGUCAUUGAAUUUCAAAUAAAGGACAAAACGUUGUAAUGCAUUACUUAACAAAAGACUUGUAUUGAAAAGACAUUUGAUUCAAAACUAUUUACAAUACUAAAAGGUAAAAUAUGAUCAAUGCAAAUAAUUUCUUUCAUAGUUCUUAACCAAAGGCAAUCCUCUAGAUUUACUGAAAUUUCCUUCGGAAGGGAAGGUAAUUCGCAGUCCAGUUUUGGAUGGCUUCUUCCAACACAAAAGGCUUCUCGACUAUUUCGAUUAUUUCAUUCUCUUUCACAAUGUAUUUGGCAGGCUCCUCAAACUCCUUGUUAGUGCUAAUUGCCCCUACAGUAUCUUUUAGCUCAGGAAGAGGGUUUUGCUGACAUUCGGUCCUGACUCACCCCUUUUCCUUAAAACUAUGUCCCCGGCAUCAAUCAUGUCUUAAAUCUUUUGUUUUAGUACCCAACAAUUAUCAGUACAGUGGCCAGAACUUUCAGAGUGAUAUGCACAAACGGCUUGAGAAUCAUAACCAGCAGGAAUACCACCAAUGUAGGUUUUAGGAGGCACCACACCAAUUUUACCAGCAGCCUUAAGUUACUCGUAUAAUUAGUCAAGAAGUCAGUCCAAAUUGGUAAAGGUAUGAUAUUGGAUUUGGUUUUGGGUUUCAUUGGUUUGAGAAUAAUUAUAGGUUUGGUUAUUUGGCUGAGAAGGUCUUGGAUUAAAAGAAAAUCGAGGUCGAAUUUACAAACUUGAUUGGAAAAUCUGAAAAGGUGGUGCAGGUACGUUUUUGUAGUUGGGUCGAAGGUGAGGAUGGUUAACAGUAGUGUGAUAGAUAGGACGAAAAUUUGGGUAAUAUGGGUAGGGGAUGAGUAGGUGGUCAGUUCUGAAAUCUGGGUCUAGUCGGGGGACUCUGAUCCCAAACAAAAGCAUUCUCUCCUUCCUUCUUAUUAAACUGAGAUUUCUUGUCACUACUACUCUGACCUUGCAAAGUUUUCAGUUGCAUUUUCAAGGUCGACACGCUGACUAUCUUUCCUACUUUGACAAAUUCGUCAAAUUCCUCUAACUUGUUUACAAUAACUGCAAAUUAGCAUCCAGUCAUUCGAAAAAUUUUCUCAAAAUAAGGCGGGUCAUGAGAUUUGAUAAAUGUUCAAACAAUUUUGUCCUCAGACAUAGGGGGUUCCACUUUGGCAGCCAAUUUCCUCCAUCGCUUUGCAUACGUCUUGUGAUCCUCAAAUGGCUUUCUUUUAGUCUCCUCAAGUGUGGUUCUCGUUGGAGCAAACUCACAAUUAUACUCAUAUUAUCUUAUAAAAGUGGUUGACAGAUCCACCCAUGUCCUUAUCUCAUCAGGUUUUAAAUUGGAGUACCAAUCCAGUGUAUCGCCUUCUAAGUUUUCAAGAAACAAUCGAACUAGCAAAUUCUCGUCAUCUAUUGGCUUUUCUAAUUUGUUUGCAAACAUUCGAAAAUAUGUUUUGGGAUUGUCCGUUCCGUCAUACUUGCUAAAUUUGGGUGCUUUAAAACCCACAGACAGUUACAUAUCAGGAAACAUGCACAAUUCAUUAUAGUCCAAAUCUCCUUGUUUGCUUAAACCUUGGUUUUUCCUCAUGAAUUCGUCAAAUCGAUCCAACCUCUUUAAUAGAUUAUUGUCAAUUGGCGCGGAGGAUUCUCCUACUUCAACUUUUUCUUGUGCAACGGUGUCUAGCGUGAAUGGUUCUGCAGUGAAAUAAUAAUAUGGUUCUUGAGAUUCAAGUGACAUGUUUAGAUUAACAGGUGGAUAAGUUUGAGGAGCUUGCAUGUGAGAAUGAUUGAUUUGGAUAUUGGAUACAUAGGUAUGUGGUAGGUCAUGAUUGGGAUAGGUGAAAACUUUCUCAGGUGGAUUUAUGACAUCUGGAGCAAAAGAGAUUUGAGUAUAGGGUAGGGGUAGUGAUUGCGUUUCAGUUUGACUAGCAGAUAGAGGAUCAUGUUGAAUACCGCUGCUGCUACCAGCAACCAGUUGAUUAAUCACGCGCCGUUGUGCGGUCAUCUCCAUGCUUAAUUCAUUGAAUUUGUUUAACACUUCGCUCAGUUGAACUCCCAGAUUUGCAAGGUCGGCUAAUGGCAUGGUUGUAGACCUAUCGGAUGAUUCAGGAUGUGUAUUCAUAUUUAUACUAUUUUCAAAACUCGGCUACGUGAUCGUGUAAUGAUAGAACUUUUUUGUGUAGUUAUGUUUACAAUUACCUGAAAAUAUAAGAAAAAUUCUAUUUAGAUUCCCCGCUUGAUUAAUUGCUGACAAAAAGAAAGGAAAAAAAAAGACGGGAGUCAAUAAAAAUUAAAGUAAUUCGAAUGCAUGUCCUAUUAGGGAGCCCUUUUUGUGCCAAAGGUAGGCCUAACAUGAUGCAACACCUUUAAAGUGGGACCCGUUUAUCAAACCUGUUUUUGACCACCAUUUUGCAAAAAAGAAAAGUCAUUUCAAACUUCCAACUUUCUAUUUUAUAAACAUUAUUUACAUCAUUCCUUGAAGACGGUCUCGUACAGAGUCAUUAAAUCUUUUUAACCUAUCUAUUACAGUAUCUUUGGAUUCUCUGGCAUAGGAAUUUUUCAUGUGCUUCACUUGUUUGUACAGUUCCUCCGCACAUUUCCUCUUCAAUUGUUGGUGUGUCUUUCGCAUCUUUUCACAUGCCUCCUUAUGCUUUUCUGCUAUUCUUUGCUAGCUUUGACAAUCUCUUUUAGUUGCAAAUUUUCUUUGUCCUUAGCUUCAAUAAUGGCCAUCAAUUUCUUGACCUUCUCGAAUGGUUCAUCUUGUGAUUCUUGCGUGCUAAGACUCUUAAGCCAAUCCUUAUAUUGCGGUGUUACUAAACCUUUCUGCUUGAGUUUCAGAAUGUACUUGACGUGCUCGUCGUUAGACAAUGUCCUCCAAGCCUCAAUGACAGGAAUCUUCAUGAAAUUUCAUUUGCACACAUCCCUUUGUCAAAAACAAUGAUGAAUUCAGUUAAAUCAAAUGAACACAGCAAUUCUUGAAUGCGGCCCAACUGUCGGAGAAACCUCUUCGGAGUAUAGACCAUGAUACCCUGGAUGCCUAGCAAUGGAAUGAACUCUGAUGCUUUGGUACGAAGUACGGGUUAACACAAUUAGUUCAAUCUAAAAUUCAUCUAACAUUCUAAUUAGACAAGUCUUUUAAAAAAUUCACAUAUUCAGAUGUAUCAUUUGGCAAACCAUUUCUAUUAACCCUCUUAUGAUGCGUGACUAUCCAAUUGUACCCAAACAUUGGUAGACUAUCAGGAAUAAGUGAUCAUCUCAUUAAGUACUCUAUAGCCCAUAUGUGCAGAACUAAAUUGGAUCCAUGAAAGAAUUUUUCACCCCUUUGGCAAGUAGUGCAAAUUAUAAAGAUAUUGGCUAAGAUAGUCGGAACAAUAGAGCAUUGCCUAUCUUUUAUCUCUAAAAACAAAUCAAACAUGACUUUGGUGAGUUUAAAAGCUAUCUUCUUGUCCUUUCUCGGAAAAAGGAAAGUUCCGGCUAUAACCAAUCUAUACUCCCACAUUCUUUUACGUUCCCACAUUACCUCGGAUGUAAAUAAAAAAACACCUAAGUGUCUCUCGAACCCAUCCCUCAAUGCAAAUCGAUAGAAUAGAAAUUUUGCAUCUAUGCCUUGAUCAAACCCUUGUAUUACAGAUUCUUCCAACCUAGUGAAAUGGUAGAACUCGGCCUUGCUAGACAUAAAUGAAAAUAUUACAGUAAUACCAUGAAUUGGUAAAUUAAGAAGGCCAGAUACCUCCUCAAUUGUCACGGUCAUUUCCUUUUUGCCUAGUCCAAAUGCGGAGCAAAUAGGGUCCCACAAAUGUAUCAAAACUUCUACCAAAUAACCGUCUGAUUUGGUAUCCUUAAAAUCCCCAAUUGGUCCUAAGUGAGAAGCUACUUGGUUAAUUUCACUAGGUAAAAGGAAUGCGGGCCACCUCUGUACAUCAAUCGGUGCUACUAAUAUUUGUUGGACUCGUCGAGGGCGUUCCAUCUAGAGAUAAGAAGUUGGUAUCAAGUACCUUACCUAUAGGUCCCACUUUUCCAGUUAAAUUGGAAUUUAAACGUGAAUAUCCCAAAACAGGGUUAAAUACAUAUGGGAAUAUAGGGUUGGCUUAUUUUUAACAUGGGAUUCCCUAAAUGGCAUUCCCUCUAAAGUUUAUGCAUGAUGUCAAUUUAUCAAAGUAAUUAAAUAUGUAAUUUGAAAUGAAAACAUGAUCUAAGGGACCUUUCGUAUGCCAGGGUGGGGCUAAAAUGAUGUGCACUUAUUAACUUACAAAUGCAAUACAUUGGAAUUUAAACGUACAAUAACCUUUUUAAGAGAGUAGGUCCUAAAAGAGUAUCAUGCCAAAACUCUUAUUUCUAAGGCUUAUGAAUGCAAUAGAACAAAGAAAUGUUAGUUCAAUUGAUAUAUGACACAUAACACAUUGGAGCAAACAAAAUAAUAUGAAAUAUAGAAGGCAAUUAAAGAAAGAAAGGUGUGAUCCCUCCCCUCGUGCCUAGUGUUCCUAUUCGGGUAAGGUUGACUAUAUCCUAGGUAAUUUCUAAUAUGAAUGCAUGAGGUUGGACUCAUUAAUGCAUCUAGACUCAAUAAAACUUCAGGUUCCCAAACUUUUAGACCAAAGACGAAGGGUCAUCAAUCCCAAAGUCUAAGAGUCGGUGGUUCGAGUGAUCUCUCGGAUAUUGCUACGCGCCCGUCGUGCCAUGGCCACAUGUCCAAGUAGAUCAAUUCUAAUCCUAAAUAGGGAAGAGUGGUAUGACAACCACUAAAAGUAAAAAAGAAAACUUGGAUACUCAUUAGUUCGUGCGACACUAGCAAACUUAAAGUUGGAGGCGUUGCUACUUCAACCUAGUAUAUGAUCGAACUACCUAAAUAGUUUAAAGGACACUAGGAAACUUAAAGUUGGAGGCAUUGCUAUUCAGCCUGGUGUAUGAUUGAACUACCUAAAUGGUUUAAAUGAGGCUAAAGAAGGAAAACUUUAGAGAACUUGAAAGACUUGUAUUGAAAAUGGUACUUCCCAAUUCAAGAUUAUUUACAAAUGAAGGGUGCUUAGCCUAUUUAUAGGCAAGUCUCAAAACCUUAGAUAAUUCUGGAAAUUUGGCUAAAUGACAUAACUUAUCUAGUCUCUAAAACCGUUUAGGUACAAAAUUUACACCCUUGGUUUGAAGAAGGCUAAUGAAGGAAAACUUUAGAGAACUCGAAAGACUUGUAUUGGUACUUCCCAAUUCAAGAUUAUUUACAAAUGAAGGGUGCUUAGCCUAUUUAUUGGCAAGCCUCAAAACCUUAGAUAAUUCUAAAAGUUUGGCUAAAUAACAUAACUUAUCUAGUCCCUAAAGCCUUUUAUGUACAAAUUCUAGACCCUUCUAUAAUAUACAAGAUUAGCCCAGAGGAAUCUGAAAACUUCUAAAACCUCUAUAUAUCUUCCAAAAUUUCUAUGCCCAUUCUUCCAUAGUUCUCUUUGUGAGGUAGCGUAGUACCUAGUGCCUUGGGUGCUUAGACACGUGUGGACUGUGUCACUAGAAUAUCGUAGAGACAUCAUAGUUCUUAAAUUGAGUAGAAAAAUUAAUCCAUCAUGAAAAUUAAACCCCAGGUAAAAAAUUUCUAUGCCAAAUAUCUGAAAGCAAAAUACAAUUAAAAAAAUCAAUAAGCACUUCACAACCCCAUCUAGCAGAUAUGAUAUGAAUAUUCGCAAAUAUAAAUUUAUCAAUGAAAACACAAAAAGCAUCCAUUUAAAUGUUUAGCAGUCCAUAAUAUAAUUGUUCACAAUUGUUGAAAAUAAAAACAUUAUCUCAACACAAUAGUCAUGAUAAAGAUCUAUUAUAGAUGGAUUCAAUUCCCCAAUUACAUGAAUAAAGUCGAAACUGAGUACCAAAUAUUACAAUAGAAGACUCUCUUAAGAUCAAAAUCCAAAUUUCCCAACUUAGGAUCCAAAAGGUAUGACAAUCAUGACAUAUAUGCAGAAAAUAAUAUUGCUUACCAUAUAUUCAAUAGUUUAAAAUCUGACAAAAUUUUCAAGGUCAAAAACAACUCCACCAUCUUGUAUAAGUAAGUAUUUUAUUUAAUUCAUACAAGUACAUUAUUCUUAGUCCAAUUGCUUGGAAAUUCCAUUUCAAUGAUUUUGCAAAAUUAUUUUUCCAAGACAAUCUUUUUAGUGAUUGAUAGAUACUAAGUUGAUUUUGUGUGUGUGUGUGUGUGUGUGUGUGUGUGUGUUUUUUUUAAAUGAAAGUAAGACUAUACUUAAAAGAUAGAUUUGUUAAAUCCAUAACCUAAAUAUACAAGUUUUUAUAUAGAAACACUAGGUGGGAUUACAAGUACUUAUCUCAAUAAGAAUGUGCCACUAACACCUUGACAGCAAUGAUUAGAAACUUGGCCUAAACCUAUAAUGUAAUAGGUAAUCACUAAUUAACAUAUACCAUUGAACUCAUACUCCUAUUAUUGAAAAAAAAUAAAAAGAAACUUUUUGAUCUCCUUAAUUCAUUGUAUUAGUAGAAUUAUUUAAGUACUCUCUUUUUGACCCAGUUCACACAAUACAUAAUUUAGCAAUAUAAUAAUAUAUUGCCUAGUUUGUAAUCUCAUAUUGAUAAAUUAAGAAUGCAAAAUUGUGUCCAAACUAAUCACUUAAAAAAUGACAACAACAAAAUCUCGUCAUAUGCAAUCUUAGAUCCACAAAUCAAAGAACCACCUAAAUCAUUCAUAAAUCUAAUACAAAUCCUUUAACUUUCUUUUUAAGCAUGAAAUUUGAAAAUUAAAGAAUACACCUUAAAUUGUGGCCAUUAAGCUCCAACUACUGUCUCUAGUAGCAUUGAAGCCUUUUCCCUUGAAGCUUUUUUGGUCCCUUUUGGGUUUGGUUGAAGAAGUGAAAGAAAAAUAGACUAGGAUAUUGUUUUUAACAUUCAUACUAAUAUUUUAAUUUGUUUGAUAAUAUAACUUUUGUCGUUUCUUUUUUUCUCAAACUAUCCCUAAAUAUGUCAUGAUAAUUGUUAUAAUGGGUGUAACUUUUUUUAUAGCUAAUUUCUAUUUAGUCCUUAAACUUUGCUCUUAUUAUAUAUUGAAUUCAACUAAUUAGUUAAGGAUUAUAUAGCUAUUAGAUUCGAAAUUUGGAUCAAUGUUUAGAAAUUCAAACUAGACAGAAUCUGACGGAAUUCAUGAGUUAGGGGUCAAGAGGUUCGACUGAUUGGAUCGAGGUAAAAAAAAAAUCAAAGAAUCGGAUGAUGUUAUUAUGAUGUUAUAAAUAUAUUUUAAUUAUAUAUAAAUCUAUAAAAUAAUAAAAAACGUAUAGAAAUAUCUCUUCAAGAUUUUCUCUGGAUCGAACCCAUCUUAGACAACUAAAUUGUAAACCAAAAACAUACAAGGUUGACAUAACAAUCAUGUAAUAAUUUAUGUAUUACUGUAUUAGUUUGUGUUAAUCAUUUAUAUAAUAACACAAACAUAACAGUCAAGUAAGAAUUUUUAUGAAUAAAACAACUUAAGAAACGAUAUAAAUUUGAUAUUAUAAGGGUUUUAAAAGUUUAGAACUCAAUUUAGAGACUUAAUGAGAAAAUAAUACCAAAUUUUAAGAUUGAAAAUAUAGAAUAAAAAGUUUUGUGGGUGCAUUCAUAAUUUUUAACAUCAAAAUAUAAAACUAAAAAAGUUCUUGACCCCAUAACUAAUUAAAAUCUUAUUAAUACUUUUUCAUUCAUACCUGGAUGUUACGAUAUUGGUUCAAUUUUUUCACCAUCUGUUAUUCUUUUUCUUUUUACAUUUGCUAUGCUGGUCUCUCUCUCUUUCUCUCUCUCCAUUUAUAGUUAUAUUUAGUUAUUAUUUUUUCUUCUUUACCCUUUUUCCUUUCUCUUCUCUAUCUUUUUUUUUAUUGUGCUUUUUUUUUUGUUCUUCACUUUCUAACAUGAUAUCCCAUAACACAUAUUGUUGAGAUAUGAAAUUAGUCUUCAUUUGUUUUAAGGAAUUAAGAAAAAUAACAAAACUUAAAAGAAUAUAAAUAAAUAUCAGCUAAAAAAAGAGAAAUAUCUAAUUCUCACAAGUUUUACUAGUUUUCAGAUCAAUAAGAACCAGAUGUUUGUUCCCAGUUCAACCAGUUGAUUCAGCCAAUUUAAGUCUAAGUAUAAAAAUGCUAGUAUGGAUAUUUCAUAAAUUUAAAUUCAAUUGAUUUUUAGACCAGCAGCGGCCAACUAUGAGAAUUUUUUUAAAAUUAAAAUGGUACAUCUAAUUGAUGAUAAAAUAGUAUAAGAACAUCUUCAGCACAACAUUUCAAUUUGCAACAUCAUUGGUAAUGUAAAACCCCAAUUUAAAGUCUCCAAUAGGUAAAGUAGGUAAGUAUUAAGGAUCUUAGAGUAACAAAGAGAGAAUUUGUAUAAAAUUGAGUUUCAAAUAUGGCAUGUCACAGAAUUAUUGUUAACUACAACUAUACAGACAGUACAAAAUAAAAAAUAAGGAUACUCUCAGAUAGAUAUAGAAAUCAUUGUGUGAAGAUAUAGCAAAGCAAUAAUAUCUAAUUGCUUUUUUAGCUCCAACAUAAAAAAAACAUGGUGGUGUUUUUAAUAUGAGUAAAGGCAUCCAAUCCCAAGAAUGCAAUAACGUUUCUUAAGCUAACUAUGUGGCAAACUGAAGAGGUUAGAAAACUUAACAUAACUCAUCAAUCUCUUAGGUAAAAAAAAUUCCUUUAGAUUGGUUGGUGGGUCUAACUAUGGCAAUAAAUGGUUUAAGAUUGGACAUGACAAAAAUAAAUUUACUCAAAACAUAUCCUUGAAGUGAUUUAGUUUCUUAAUGAAUCUCCUUAUGGUGAUUCCUACUAACCCUCACGUGAUCCAAUAAAGCAUUUAGCUCUUUCACCGUUUCGAUGUUAUUGUAAUGUGAUUUGAAAUAUCUAGGGUACUUCCUAUGCAAUGAUGUCAUAUCUUGAUAAAACUUCUAUGCUCGAAUUUUAUUUCUACAACAUAGUUGGGUAAUCAACAUGAAUUAUGCUUGACAAAGAUUAAUCUCUAAUGAUAUAGAGCCAAUGCCAAUCUUCAUGUGACGUGUUUAGUAAGUAUAAUAUAUAUAUAUAUAUAUAUAUAUAUAGUAUAAUUUUGUAGUUGUUCUAGUGUGGUUUUAAUUACAAAGUAUCGAAUGGCUAGGUUUUUCAUUUAUUUUGACAUCUAAAGUGUUAAGUGAAGAAAAACAACAUUUCUAUUGAUUUAUUUGCUUUGAUCUUGUGUUGUACACUUUUGAAUAAAAAUUGGAGGAUCUUUGCAUGUUUAAAUGAAGCAUUGGGGGUAUUUUUAAGUAAACAUGAAGUAAAACCAAGAAGAAAUGAAGUUAAAUUAAGAUCUAUCGAGAAAAGAGGCAAACAAGGCAAAGCCAUGUGAAAGGGGUGUCAUUUAGAAAUAACACAGCUCAAUUUCAUUGUUGGCUACAACUAGAUUGUUUAGAUCUAGGGAUAAUUUUAGAAAUCUCCCCUAACAUUUCUCAUAAUAUCACUUAGCAUCUCUCAGAUUUUAAAAUCUCACUUGCCUCCCUUAAAUUGACAUUUUUAUAACAUUUUAGCCCUCUUGGACGAAAUGCAAGGAAGGUAAAUUUUUUGUUUCAAUACUACCUUUAUAUUAUCCUACUUAUGAAGCUUACAACAAUAACAAAAAAUAAAAUAAUUUUAAAAUGUAAAAAUAUGAAAAUAUGAGCAUUUAUAAAUACAAUAACAAGUAAUUUUGUAGAAAUACAUAACUACUCCUAUUAUUUAGCACAACAAAUGAUGUUUUAACUAUAUAUAUAUAUAUAUGUAUGUAUGUAUAUGUAUGUAUUUCUAGAUACAUAUUUGGUCAUUAGAUCAUUUCUUGAUUUUUAAAAUUUUGACUUAUUUAUAAAUUUUUUUCUAUAAGUAGGAUUUAUAUUACAAACCACACGUAUGAAGAGAUUAUUUUAAUUUUAGUAACACUUAAAUUAUAUCAUGUAUUAAAAAAAUAUUUUCUAAUAAAAUUUCUUGACUUAUAAUUGUCUAACUAAAAUUUUCAAGGUGUUAAUUACUUACCAAAAUCUUUCUAAAUGGUUGAUUUUGACUAGAUUUAAUUUAUCCAUGUUUUUUCCUAUCCCACAACUACCUUGAUACAAAGAAAUAUGGACCAAUAUUGGAUAGUGAUUUGGUUAUUUUUUAUCUAUAAUUUUUGGUUUAAAAAUUUUCGUUUUGUUUUGGUUUUUUGUUAAAUAGUGAUUAAGAGUGCAAGGAUAAUAUUGUCAAUUUGUGACUUUUGAUAAGGAUAUUUAGUCUUGUCAAACUGAUAGGGAAGGUAAGUGAAAUUUAAAAACCUUAAGAGAGUUGAGUGAUAUUGUGAAAAACCUCAAGAAAGGUUUUUGAAAUUAUCCCCUAGAUUUGUAGAAACCAUUUAGAGUAAGCGUCAAUUCCAGUUUUGCUCACCAUUGGCUUCACUGCCACAUCCUAUGGUAGUUCAAUAGUAGCUAUAAUUUUAUAGGGUUUUUUUAUCACUUUUUUCUCUUAUUUUUGUCUCCUAUAAAUAGAAUAUCAAGAAGCAUUGAAAGUAUCAUUAAGAAGGUUACAAACAAUGCAGUUGUUAACUAAAAUAUAUAUAUAUAUUUAUUUAAAAAUCUAGUGUAGGAUUAGUGUAGAAUUUAUUUGUUUUUGCAAUUAAAAUUUGGGAAAGAGUUGAAAAUUCAAUGAAAUGGAGCUUUUCUUCGGUAUUUUGGCAUUAGAACUUCUUUCCUUUACUCUUUAUUUCUUGGUAUUCGAAUUCAAUGUUUAGUUUUAAAGUAAAUUUGUGUUUCUUUUCAUUUUAUUAUGAGUUACUAAAUUUUAUUCACUAGGGUUAGGAUGAAGUUUCUUCUUUGUUAGAUGAAUUCAACCUGGUUAGUUUUACUAUAGUUUGUAUAAGCUAUUAAUACAUUUGUUUUUAUAAUUACAGUGAACAAACCAUUAUUUGUAAUCGAUUGUAAUUCCUAGUUUGUAAAAGCACUAAAUCGAAGUUGUAGACUCAUGAAAAUAAAUACACAUUUGUGGCUCAAAACAGGCAAUUUCACGAAAGCUAAUGAACUUGUAGCAAGUUUUAUACCACGAAAGUAUGGAGUUGUAUAAUAGAUAUGGUGGGUACACUAGCAAAAGUAGAUAUCUCAUACGUUAAGAGAUUAUGUCAUUGUUUAGCCAACAAAUGAAAACUCAAUUUGGCAGUUUAUUGUUAUUUUUUCUACCAUUUUUUUUAUAUGUUUUGUAAUUUAGAUUAAUUUACUCGCUAUUAUCAUCAGUCUAAUUAAUAGAAGAGUUACAUCAAUGAAUUGAUUAAUUUUUCUUGUUAGAUCGACACUCAAAUUCUCUUGCUAACUUGUGUACUUGUAGAAGAAAAAGUCAAGUUUAAAUAAACUUUAUACCAAGUUUCUGGCAUGUAUUGCCAGGAAAGAAGCCAAUCAAUGUCAAUAUUAAGCACAUAUUUUAUUAGUUUAGACACUUUAAUUCUUGUUUCUAGUGUUUUAAAUAUCUAGGAUAGUGUGUUAUCGGUUUCAUUUCGUGUUUUUAAUUAAUUUUAUUUGCAAUACUUAGUUACUAUCUAUUUUCUUGACUAAUUGUGCUUUUGAAAUAGAAUUAAAGAAAAUUUUAGGAGUUGAAGGAAGAUAUUUCAAGAAAAGCAGAAAAGUUAUGAGAGAAGGAAGAUCAAUACUACUUCUAAUGCACCAAUAGAAGAGAUAACCAAAGAAGUGCUCCGAGUAUACUUGAUUCAGAUGAAAUUAUAUUAUUAAAAACUAAAUUGGACAAUUUGAUGCGCAUGAUUGAACAAAAUUGGAAAGUAAUGUCCUUUCAAAUUAUAGAACUUCUACUUUAUGUGGUGGAUAGCAUGCUACUUAUGAAUGUAUGCAAGUAUAAUAUAUGGAUCAUUUUGAUGAAUUUCAGUAAUAUAAUUCCCAUUUUAGUCAAAGUAAUCUUGGUUGCAUGAAAUAUUUUAAUUUUGAAUUAAGGAAUCAAUGUAACUAUGGUGAAUCUAUUACUUUCCCUAUUUUCUAAUUGGAAUUUGUGCAAAAUGAAUCUACAUUAUCUUAGGAGUUAGCCAUUAAACAGCUAGCAAAUGUGACUUCUAAACACUUUGAGAAAUGCAACAAUAAUUAGAUAGAAUUGAAUAAAGGAUAAAUCAAAUCACUUUGAACCUCAAAGUAAUGGUUGAACUAUUAGAUAAGUUAAUGAAUGCUAUACAUGAAGUUAAUUCACCUAGUAAAAUUAAAAUCAACUGCAGAUGGAAUAGUAAAGUUGUCACAUAGGAAAGUGAAUUGCACUUUGAAGAAAUGAUGAACAUAAUUGAAACUAUAAUGAGAACAUUUUCGCUUCACUAGAUAAUGUCUUGGAAGUUGGACCUUGAACAUCAAUAGAUAACUAUUAACAAUUAUUUUUAAACCUAAGUUCAAAAGACAUCAUCAAUCAAGCUAAACCUAUUGGAUUUUUUUAGUGAGUUCUCAUGUAAUACACAAAAGAGAUACUGUCAAAGAAACACUUGAAAGAGGUAAAACACUUCCGCCUCUCUCACUAUUUGAUUAUAUGGCUCUUAAAAUUAAACCACCUUUUGAGCUACUGAGGUGGAUAAAUAUUCUUCCUUUCAACUUAAUGGCUAUAUAUUAUGUAAGAAAUAAUCCAUUCAUGGUAGAUAGAAGUGGAUUGGAGUUGCUUUUUGUUGCCUUACCAUGACUUAAAAUAGUGAAUUAUUCCUUCAAGAAAUCUCCUUGAAAUAUGGAAGUAUAGUCAAGUUAAUAACUAGAAAGAAGCACAUGUUAGGAGCCACCUAAUAUUAUUUCCAUUUCAUUUCCAUAGCUUUUGGUUUAGUUACUUUUUUUUUUUUGGGUUUGUAAUAAUUGGGUUAUGGUACUUUGAUAUCUUGUCAUUUAUUUUGAUGCCUCUUUAAUGAAUUUGCCAAGUUUGUCUAUCUUCAUUUGUGUAAGAGCAAGUUGAAUGUUCAUCAUAGGAUAACAAUCAAACUUUACCACAUUAAUGCCGACUCAUGUUAACAUAUAGUGGGAGUAUCUCAUGCUAAUUUGUUUCAUGUCUAUCUGUGUUAAAAAUAAUUUGAAACUUAGGAGUGAAGAACGUGUUUUGAGUUGAAACUUGAUACUUUCCUAUUUGUUGAUAUGAGCUCAUGAGCAGGACAUCUUGAGAUUGUGAUUGUGUGAUAGGUUAUAAUUUGUUACUACAUUUAUAAUUAUUUUUCCCCUUGAUUUUAGCCAAAUAUUAUAUUAAUUGACGAAUUCUACUUAUAUUUGGUUAAUGGUGCUAAUUGUAAGAAAAUAAUCAAAACAUGAUUAAAAGGGACAAUUUCCAGCUAAUUUAGUAGUGGCACAUUCAAGUUCAGAAGAUUUGGGAUUCGAGCGUAGAAGUUUCCAAGUCCGAGUAGAAGUCAACAAGAGCACGGGGUUGAAGAUUGGGAGAAUUUCUUUAAUAGUUAUUUUUAUAUUUUUAGGAAACGAUUCACAUUAUCUUCAGCAACUUUUCCUUUUCAAUUAGGAGAUUUCCUAGCUUGAUUGGUGCGGAUGAAGAGCAAAGUGGAGUCAAAGUGGGGCUCUUUCCUCUAGUCUUCAUAUGGCCGUAUAAGACAAGGAAACAAUUAGAAGAAAAAAGAAGUAGACUUAGCUUAGGAGAUUGAUUCCUUUCUUUUAGCGGGUUGGCCUUGUUGUUUUUCUUGGUCCGUCUCUUCUAUUAGUACGACGGAGAACAUAGCUUUGUUUGCGGGAAUGACUUCUGCAAUUUUGCAUGGAAUUUCCUCCAUGAAGAUGAAAUAACUCCUUUUUCUAGUCAAGGGUUAAUUUGAAGACGCGAUUUCAAAUAUCUGUGAGAUCGAAUUAUUUUACUUAUUUCUUUUAUUCAUUAGUAUUCGUACGUUUUCUGGUUUAAUUGCUUAUGAUUGUUUUGUUAUUUGAAUAUCAAGGGCCUGAUAUUUGAAUUAACCUAAUAAUCUACUGUCAUAUUAAUUGAUUGAAUCCGUAAUUAUUCAGUUGGUUAAUACCAGUGGUGACUAACGUGAUUGGUUUCAUGUUAGGGAAACGUAUGAUCUAACUUAAACAGACCCUCGUAGCGUGUUUGUUGGUUAGGUUUAGGUUUUUCUAAUUCUUAUUGCAAUCGAGAAAUUAAAUCCUAUGGUCGUACUUAGAGUUGUCUCUUGGUUAGAGAAAUAGUCAACGGUCGUACCUUGACUAUCAAACAAGUAAGGAAAGGCUGGUUGUUUAUCGCGUGUAUGACAACUAUAACCAAUCUAUUAAUGAGUAAUUGAAUUAUCUCUGCAUCGAUGAUCAGUUGAAUGGACCGUAUCUGAAAAGUUACACAUUUGGCUAGAGUCAUAUUGGUUGUUGAUUAAUUCCUGUUUAUUUCUAUUAGUUAUUUUAUUAGUUGGUUAAUUAGUCAUUUUAUAUUUUUCAAAAAUCCCCCAUCUCUGGACUCUAAAAGAAAUAAGUUAUCCCCAAUCUCUGUGGAUUCGACCCUACUCACCGCUAUAUACAAAAUUUAUAUUUUUCUCGAGAAGGUAUUUAUUAUUGUACAGACUCGACAGCCUAUCAUUGUGUGAACUUAAAAUUUUUUUAUUUUGAGAAUGGUACUGUAUUAUAAAGUUUGUCAUGCCGAGAUUUCUUUGAGUUAAUGAAAUCUAUUGUUCAUAUUAUAUUUAUGUGAGUUGGGACUAGAAUAAUUGAUGAAUACAAGACUUUUUUUAGUGAUUGUCUCUUUUGUUCUAGGUUUUUUUUCCAAGGAUUAAGUAAAGUAGUUUUCUCUUUUGCAAGAGAAAAAAAGGAAGAAAAAGAAAUAAAAUGUGUGUUUCAAUAAAGAGCAUUCUUAUGAAAGUACUUAGUCACCAGCGAUUUUCAUCUAUUAAUGUCGACUUUGAUAUAAAAUAGUAAAAUUGAAGGUAUGUAAUAAUGUAAAGCAACUAGAGUUUGUAAUUUGAUUGGGUAAUUGAGGGCAUUUAUCCACUAAUGUUUACUUUCACGUCAAAAUACAGGUUCAUUACUUAAGUACGAUUUAACAAGAAAAGAAAAGAAAGGAUGAAAAGUGAAAAAAGCAGGAAUUUUCUCCGAGUUUUCUAACCUUGUUUGUAUUAGUUAUAAGGUGUGGUUUCAAAUUAAGUUUUUACAUUUGUUGAUUAUAAUAGUUACAUGAGAAGCAUAAUUAGAUUAAAGAUAAUAUAUGAUAUAGAUUUGAUCAAAUAUUAAGAUGAUAAACUUUUCUUUAUUUGAUAUUAUAAAGUACUAAAAUUAGAAUUUAAAGUUUGAAUGAUGAUUAUCUUUGAUGUAGAACGAGGACCCCGUGGGCUUAGGCAUCCAUCAUCCCCAUCUUAAGAAAUUAUUUAGAGUCGAAUUUAGGAUAAAUGUUAUAAUAUAGUUUUAUUCAUAGUUUACCUAUUUUAAAUGCGGAUUUUAUUAUUAUUAUUGCCUGUCAUCAGGAUGCGUGAUAGUUGGCCAAAAGAAAAUUGUUUCGAGGCAUUAUUAUUGAAGAUUUGCAGACGGAUUCUCAGUAGAGCCUCGUGGAUCUAUCCGUAAGUCAUUUUCGGAAACUAAUUCCAAUGAUGUCGGGCGCCGAACAUUGGGUCGGACAUUGUCCGGGCUUUGGGGGCGGUUGAACACAACUCCAGUUCAUUUAGAGUUUUUCUUGUGUUUUUUGUUUCCUUGUUGGGGUAGGACAUUUUAACCUAUAAAUAGGCAUACCUAGGAUUUUUGUAAUAUGAAUUUUCUCUUAUUAAUCAAAUAUUGGUUGGUUUUAUCCAAUUGUUGAGAAUUUCCUUUUGUCUCUUUCGAAUAUUUGAUUUGUGUCUUGGAGUUUGAUCGUGAAUCGAUCGCCCUUGUUCUUUUCUAUAAAUUUCGUUCAUGAAUCAAAUUCUAUUUUUACGCUUCUGCUAUCGCAUCAAUCGCUUUCAUGCCUUAAACAUGAGUUUGAAUAUGUUGACACUUCAAUACUUUUAUUUGUUUACUUUGGUUUGUUUUUCUUUUCUUGCCUGCAAAAUAGGAAAUGAUUCAAGUGUCACAUUACUUGUUUAGUGAGGAUAACAUAUGUGCUUUGGUAUAUAUUUGUGGCUGUUUUAGUGUCAUUUUAGCUGAUAAAAUAUCGAACAGCCAAGUUUUUGGUUGAUUUACCAUCUGGAAUGUUGAGUAAAAAAAACACUUCUAUUGGUUUAGUUUCUGAGGUCUUAUAUAUUGAAGUGCUGUGGGAAGUCAAACACAUUGGAAUGAAGAUUGAAAAAUCUUGGCUUGUUUGUGUGAAGAAUUUGAUGUGCUUUUAAUUAGACACGAAGUGAAACCAAGAAGAAAUGAAGCAAAAUUAAGAACGAACAAGAAAAGAGGCAAUAAAAGGAAGUCCACGGUUUAGCCGGCUAGAAAAAAGACUACACUAGCUUGACUGCUGGCUGCAACUAGAUUCUUCAAGCUUGCAGAAACCAGCCAGAGUCGGCGUCGGUACCAGUUUUGCUCAUCAUCAUCGGCUUCCCGGCCAGUUUCUAUGGCGGUUAAGGUUUCUUCCUAGCGUUUUCCUCAAAAUUUCUCCUAAUUUUGGUGAAAUUGAAAUUUUUACACAGUAUCUAUAGCAACUUUGAAAUGAAUUGUGAACCAUAUCUUGAGAAUAUUUAUUUAAACCUACUUUUGGCCAGUAGAUGAAACCUAUGAUUUACCAUUACAUAGAGAGAAUUCUAACCUGCAUAUGAGAUACAUGUUAACUCUGUAAUCUAUUUAAACCCUUAUAAGAAGUUAUGAUCAUGUAUGAAUUUCUGACCUAUAAACGUGAACUUGUCUUCAAUUUUUUUCAACUAGAUAUCAUCAACAGCUUGUCAUUUUUGCUUCUUACAAACUUAAUAGAAUUUCCAAGCUCUCGAUAUGAUGCCUGGUUGUUUGUGUGGCAAUUACUUACAUUUUCCUCUGUUCAUUUGUAGUCGCCUUAACCAAAAUUUGCUUGGCAAGUUUCCCUUGAUUCCAAAAUCAUGGAGUCUUCCCCUUCUUCCACUAUUUCCAUUUAUUACUAAAAGUUUUUUUUUUUUUUGUCGUAACGGCAUAUCUAGCAUAAUCUAAUCCACUUCUACUCUUGGGGGGAACCUAUUCUACGGGGUGGCUCAACUGAGUUGGGGAAACCUGACGGAGACUGAACUAUUAUCAGACCAGACGGGUGCAUCACACACCCGUAUAGAAUUAGAACAAACCUCAUAUUGAGACACAUUGAUGGGAGGCAAGAUUUGAACCCUUGACUACCCACCCCACAAUUAAUGUGGUGGCCAACUCCUCUAGAGGGAGUUGGUUUUAGGUCAAUUUAUUACUAAAAGUUUGUUUUAGGCCAAUUUGCAGCAUCUAUACUAUCCUAAUCUAUAAAGAAGGAAAAUCUAAUUGAGUUGUAUAGGGAUUAUAUAGAAGACAGACCAAUCUAGACCAAAAAGGUAAUCUGGCACAUCCUUUAAAUUUUUUAACUAAAAGGGUGCGAAGCUUGAACCUCCAAUCUACGACCCAAAAUGGGAUUUUUAAUCCAAAUUGACGUAUACCAAGCUGCCUGCGGCACCUGUUGCAAAAUCAGCCAUAUCUAUCCUUCCUACCAUUAGUUACGUAAAAAGGUUCAGGUAGACAGAUUCCAUGUUUAAACAGUAAAGCAAACAGAUGUGAUAAUGAAUAUGUUGUGCUACCAUGGACUAUUGCAGUCUGUCAGCAAUAGGUCGCAUAAACUAUUGCAGUUUGUCACUGAUAGACAUUAGACCCUAUAUCAGAUACUAGAAAUUAAUUAAUCAGGGAGGCCUUAUUGCAAAUCGCUUAGAGACUUUAUCCUCUGCAAUCUUGUCUAAAAGCGGUACACUGAGGAAGGAAGCUUAGCUAGGAACCUCUGUACAUUUACCCUUUGCAAAGCUUUCGGACAAGGUAAAUCUAUUUGCAUGGUUAUUCAACCUUCACCCAGUCUUGCUUUCGUCUCUUUCCAAACUCGAUGGAAAGGCCUGCCAUUAGCUGCUUGAAAGCGGCAGCUUAUUCUGUGUGCUCCACCAAAAUAUAUUUUCAGGUGUCCUUCUUUUUCUUUUUCUUUUUUUAUUUUUUAUUUUUUGGUCAUCUAAAUUAGCUUUUUAGACUUGAAAAGACCAAUUCACAAUGAAAGUUCAUUUAAAUAACAUUAAACAAAAAAGUUAAAACUCUAAAAUCCAUAUUAAACUAAAUCCGCAAGUAGCAAAAAUAAAAAAUAUGAUUGCAUGUUUUCCAGCUCAACACUAGUAAAGUGAAAGGGCCUCAAUCGCUACUAUUGUAGAAGGCUCACAUGCUUCAAAGCGGUUAAGGUUUCACAUUUCCUCUUCCUUUAAAUUUUUAAAGAGAAUGUUCCAUGGGGAAAUUCAGGUUCGUCGUCUUUUUGCAGAAACAUCAUGUAGCAAGACCUGUAUUGAGAGAAAUAGAUCUCAGCUUGAAAAAAUGUCGAUUAUAGCAGUGGAGGAAUCAAGGGUUCAUGAAGGUUGAUUGGAAAGACAUUCUCCAGGGGGAUUUAUCCUGUUGAUUGUUCGCUGAACUCUAUUUCCUCAACUCCAGCAGUAGCAGGUUGCUCUGACUGCUCGGAUGCCGCUGAAGAGGGUUGCCUUACCCCAGGACCUGAAGACACCUUGACCAUAGCUGGUCUUAAAAGUCGGUCCACAAGGAGAAAACCACGACGGAACUCUUCAAUUAUAACACCCUCCUUGAACUCUUCAGACUCCUCUUGGGCAAUAGCCUCGUGUAACUGAAUCACGAGAAAGAAUGCACAUGGUAAGUCACAUCACAAAAGAUGUAGUACUGCAUUUUCAUAGCAAGGAAACACUUAGUUCAACUAUCCCCAGCCAAUCAUGAUUUUAGUUUAACCUAGCUCAUCAACUUCCACGUAUACAAAGCAACUAGCACGUCAAUAGAUUUGCAGAUGCUAGCUUUCAACCAAAUGAAAGGGUCAAAAGAUCAAAGAGAGAUUUAUCCUGGAAAACAUAGCCUCAAAGUAGAGGCACCCCAGAUUUAAUUUAGCAGUAAACCAACAUGACAGAUUGCUAACACACCACACCUCUAAGUAUGUCGGUAUGUAUGUUUUUCUGUACUCUAUAUCUAGUAAGAUCAUUGUAUUAUAUGUAUUCUAUUUUUGGUCAAACAUUGUCAUAGAUAUGCAGACAGGUAAUUAGUGUUGGAACUAGUCUCAAGAAAAAUUCAGAUGAAACAAUAUGCAGAUGAUGCGGGGGUGCUUGAGCUUUUCUUUUUUGACAUUCCAGGCUGCUUGCACCACAGGAAAGAGUAAUGGCAGUUAUUCUGUCUUUUUGCAUCAGAAGAAUGUUUCUCAUAUUUGCCCCUAACAAGCUUGUCCCAUAAAAAAUGCAGUACAAGCAAACACAGUGCAUACACAGCCAAUAUUUGUCACUAAAAUCAUCAUGUGACUUUAUUAUCCAGAUUAUUCCUCAAAGUUACUUGCCAUGUUUUUAACACAGUAGGAAUAGAAAAAGCACAGGAAAGAAAAUCCAUAGCUUUACAGGUACAUAGUAACUACCAUGGAUGUUUCGAGGACUUGCAUAUGAAUGUAAACUACAGGUAAUUAUUAUCAUUAAUUUUAUGGCAACACUGCCAAAGACACCAAGAUGGGUAUGGAAUCGUUCAUUUAUGCUCAUAUCCAAGUAACAUGUCGAGAAAAUACAAUAUUGCAUGACUGACUAUUACUCUCUAAUAGUGCAUAGAAACAAAAAGAGUAUAAGAAGAGAAAAGAAAUGAGGUGUAGGGAUAUUACCACACCCAAAAGACAGUUUUUUCAACCAUGAAAGAGACUGCACCCUUCUUUCCCUCUUUUUUCUGUUCUAAGGUUCAUCAUUACCUUUAAUAUGCCCAAAACCUCAGAUUAAGUGUCGAAUACUGAUCCUAGUGUGAUGUCAUCUCUGACAUGGGUACUGCUUGGGGGAAGAAGAAUAUAUAAAAGAGACUACCAGGAUUUAGAAAAUGAAAAUAACAUUUGUAAAGGUAUUGAAGUUUCAAAUUGAGAAACAUAACAUUUACCAAGAACAAAAACUAAAAUUUCAGGUGAGCAAGGACCAGAUGAAUGCUGUGAGCAUCUAUGCAUCUAUUCUCUACUUUCACCCUUAACUUCAGUAACAAAUUAGCUGUGUAUCAUUCAUUAAGCAUAUUGUGCCACGUGUAAUGGAUCAUUCAUCUCACCAAUUAGGAUUGUCGUCCAAUUUCAAUCCCAAACACCUUUCCAUAAAUACAUUUAAGUUGCUAUAAGCAUAAAGACGAGGUUAAUGCUGAAUCACUUCUAAGCACAAGCUUUUCCUCCAUAUGCAUCAUCAUUUUAAUUAAAUAAGCAAUGCACCAUCUUUUGUAGAUGAACAGAAAAGAUGCUUUUAAAACCCUACAUGGCUGACAAAUUGGGCUGCACCAAAACUUAAUGCAUAGUAUUGGCUCCAGGUCUAAAUGGAACAUUUUUUUUUAAAAAAAAAACCUAAGAUCAUGUGGAACAUAGCGAUAAAUAAUAUGAUCACUGUGUACAGCAACUCAACAUCCAAUUGUUCUUGAGAAAAAUUUGCCGGACAGAGGUGGUGGUGCAAGUAAGAGGGGAAUUACCUUAACCCACGAUCUAAGUCUAGGCCUUUAGGGAAAACCAAGAGAAAACCUUGAAUAAGGGGCUAAUUUAUCACCAACCCCGAAUUUCUAUGAUAUUACCUAAAAGAAGACAGAGUUUCAUUAAAGAUCAAAAUCACAUCACAAACCCAGAAAGGCUAGAUUUAUAGUAGUCCAACUCCAAAGAAGAGCCUCUAUCUACUUAGUUUUCCAAAUGUUCCUUCCAAAAAUUUAACUUAUGCAAUGAGAUUGAGAACAAAAGAUAACAGCUAUUGAUGACGUAGAGAAGAGAAUGCAGCGAGAAAGAACAGUGGCAUCACUAGAUUUGGGCAUGUACAUUUGGAAAAACUUGAUUUGUUCUUGUUAGCAAAUCUGCAAAAUUUUCCUAAAUUGAUAGGUAGAAGAGAGGAUUGCAGUCAGCAGUGGAAAGGAGAGAGAGCACAUAAUGGAUUUGCUAGCAAGGAGUAAGUAGAGUCAGUGAAGGACAAAGGGGGAGAGGGAGAAAGUGAAAAGAAAUGAUUGAAUAAAUAAUUCUCCUAGAAGGUCACAAAUCAAAUUUGGGAACUGAGCAAAACCCUCCAGUUUGUUAGGGAUCAAGAAUUCCUGGUUUUUGGGGUUCAUCCCAAAAUUUUUGAAGCCCAUAGUUGUUAUCUGUAACGGAUUUAUUUCACUUCCUGAUUCCAAUUUCUCUUAGAUAAAUACUAAGAUCCAAAACCAACAAAUCAAUUAAGCCAUGAACAAUCUUGAACCCAAAAAAAAGAAAAAAACACACAGACAAUGCUAGAAGUAACUUAUAAGACCUAAAACACAGCACCACAACCACUUCCAGUGACUUGAUAUGCACAAAGAAAGUGUGGCCUAUCAGCUUUAUUACCAGGAUCGAUGAAUGAUUUCAGAGGGCACACCUUAACCUGAGGAGAUUUGUUGAUAAAAGUAUCUAAUUUACUCAAUGACCAUUUCCACAAGGGCGGGCAAAUCCUUGAUAAAUAGUUUGCCUUCAUAUUUUCUUUAGAAGGUUAGGCAAUAAGCAAAUCACAUGGUUGGAAAUUCUUGAUGACUUGGAUGCAAUCCAUGGGCUUUAAUUUGACACCUUUUCAAUUUCCAAUUGUAUCUCAACUGUCCUAACUGGCAUAUUGCUUGCUUUUCUCAUGUUUAUUUUUAGGUCACAAUCAUGGAGACAGGAAACCCCAUCUCUAAUUCUUCUGUUAAUAGUAAUGGAGGCUUUCAGUAAACAGCAGCAACUAACAUUGCAGACAACUAUUACAAAAAAGAUUCUAAGCUAGAAGAAUUACAAGUAAACACUGAAAGUUUCAGAUGAAUUUUCCAGUGACACUCAAUCUCUCGUCAGGCAGAUUAAAAGCAGUUUAUUGCCUUGAAAAUUUCGUUUUAUUUCAUGGUUCCAAGUGUUCAAAGAGUAGGGUAAACAAAGAAAUUUGAUCUCUGGAUGAGAGGUUCAUUGCAUAUGGAGAUUUAACACUAAGUUUGGGUUGGGACAUUGGGCCAAAUGUAACAAAGUAUUACGGGGUACAUUCGUGGUAAAUUUCAUUUUCUGGAAGCUGGAACAGAUGAUAGUUACCUAAACAAAGAAACUUACUCCCAGAUUUAUUAGGGAGGAAGAGACAAUAUUUGGCUUUUCUUUUGUGUGUGGGGGGGAAUACACCUUUUAAAAACUUUCGGCCUUCAUAAUGUAAAUACCCCUUAUUUUCAGAGAAAAGAAUUUCUUAUGGGUGGCAUUGCAAGUGGAAGGACAUUUCUGAUAAGUUGGAAGUAUGUCAGGCCAAUUAUAGGGCAGAUUAAUCAUUCUUGUUCUGAGAGUUGCAACUGAUGCUUGGUUACAAAAAGUUACCAAACAAAAUGCUACAUGGAGAAGCCCAACGGCCUGAAAGUUUAAGUUUUAAGAUGAAAACUGCUAUGAAAUGCUCCUUUACAAAAGAAUCGGAGAUUGACAGGAAUCAAGAAUUUCCAAACUUGUCUAUCUAAGAUAAAUCACUACUAUACAAAAAGCCUUUUCUUGGAAAUCAAGUAUGCCAAAGCACAUGAAUUCCAAACCUAUUCUUUAAAACUUUUAAUAGUUUGGGUGCUAUUGAUCAUGUUGCAGAAAUUGAGGCAAGAAUGACCUCUUGCAAAAAAAUAAACAACAGGAACUUACAAGACAAAAUGAAUCGUGUUCAGCAGCUAAUCUAGGACCUAAGGAACUUCAAUCUCAAAUUGCUAGCUCUCCGAGCUUCGUACUUUUAAUUUCAUCCAGUUGAGUAUUCUCAGCAUGAAAAAAAUCUCAGUCCAUAUGCAUUUUUUGUAGUAGCAUUGUAUUUCUCAAUUACAAUCAUGAAGAACAAUGCUAUUGUGUAUCUUUCCACAUGGAUGCAAACAUUCAACACCACAAAACAUUAGAUGGUAACUGUAAAACCUGACAAGUUCAACGCCAACUUUCUAGGUCUGAUCUUUCUUUUCCACAUUUUUUAUCCCUCAAGCUUGUCACCUCAAAAUUUAAGUGUCCAUCAUCACUCAACAGUCACAACCACAACAGCCUAUUUUCACUUUCUUGGUGCUGUAUUUCAGCUUCCAUUGCAGUUUAUAAAGUUGUCCUGAUUGGAGAGAAGGAAAUAGAGCUUUUGGGGGUGUACCAAGACAGUAUGAAUAUGAAAAUUAUACUGCCUUCACCCAAAACUGAAGGCCAUAGUUCGACUAAAGAGAAUAUGAAUAAAAAAAACUGAAUAACAUAAUAGCCCAAAGAGAGUGUGAACAGAAUACAGGAAUUCCAAUACAGAGUUAGCAAAAAACAUGUAGAUGAACCCUUUAAUCAUUUCUGUUAUACACAAAGAGUACAUCAAAUGAAGAAAUAUCAAAGAAAACAACAAUUCUUUUUGGGGAGGCCAAAACAAGAAAUCAGAAUUCGAAACACCAGGGAGUUUAUAAUUCUCCAUACUUUCUUGGAGUAGGCAAUCUUGUGAAUUCAUGGACGUAUAACAAAUAUACUUCCAAAACAGCCUACUUUUCUUGCAAAAAUGAUUGCAACCCAUAAUAGUGGUUCAGUUCUUAUAGGCUUGGUUUACAACCUGGCCAACUAUCAUAGUACUUCUAGGUGGAUAACUAAUCCAGUCAAACUAGGAUACCAGGUCCUGAUUUAAUAUGUAAGGGGAUCCAAUACUGUAUCUUCAUUACAGUUGCUCCAGCAUCAUUUCUUUCUCGUCGAGUCUCAGCCUGACGGCCUACUCAAGGGUUUCCCACCAAUAAUCAACUAAAUUUGGAAAACCAAAACUUCGCUAAAUUUCUAAGCAUUAGCACAUUUAUUCACCAAAAAUUAUUUAGCCCCUCAGACUAGAGGGUACGUUUGCUUAUCUGGGUUGAGGUCUCAGUUUUACCAUCUGCAUCAAAGUUUUGAAAGAGUUCAUAAGUGGCUAAAUCUGCCACCAACCAAUCAGUUAUAGAUCCUGCUGAAAGUAAGAAAAAAGAAAUCAGCAGGAAUGCUGGAAGCAAUAAGAGUGUUGGCUUACCAUAGGAUCAAAUAAUGUCCCAACAGUUGGUACAACAGAUACACCCAAGUUCUUCAUGAUUUCUACAAAUUGCUUGUAUAUGCCCUGAUAACUUGCAUCAAUUUUCUUUUCCUGCUCUGUCUCUAGUUUGAUAUGUUGCUUGGCUCGUUCAAAGUUAUCUACCAUAGGCAAGAGACUCUCAAUCACUUCUCCCUGGGCAUUACUCCUUAUUGUUAGCUUCUCAUUCUCUGUUCUCUUCCUGAAGUUGUCAAAAUCUGCUUGCAAACGAACAUACUUGUCCUUCUGAGCACCAAUUUCAUCUGACAAAACAGAAACCUUUUCUAACAACUCAUUCCUCUCCUUUUCUACCAUGUGUAUUAUCUCUUCAAAAUCGGAUAUACUUUUCUCAUCUCCAUUUAAAAUGGCCUCCUUAUAAGCUGAGAUAGUAGACUCCAAUCUUGAAGGAAGUUCUUGGUCCGCUUCCUCUUCUGUUUUACUGAGAGGAGUCUCAUCUUCAUCAUCAGUCUAUCAUGUAUCACAUUGAUAUUAUUAAGCAUGCAAUGGCAGCUAUAAAAGUACUCAAAAUUUCUACCAUUAUACAGAAAAUUUAUAUGGUUGAUGAAAAAUUACCAUUACUUGUUACCUUUGUAAAUGAACUGAACAUUGCAUGAGAUAAGAACCAAUAAUAGGUUCAAAACAGAGACACUGACAGAGGAAGCGAUCUCUAAACUUUGAAGUAUGAGACACACACUGUAAAGUAUACAGACAUGGUACACUAACUCUCUCUCUCUCUCUCUCUCUCUGUUUUGAUUCAUUGGUGGUGGUGUAAGGGGAACUCAACUUAACCUCGUCCCGUUUUAAUAGUUUUUGAAAAAAGAGACAAACAAAACUUCAUUUUUCAGCAGCAGCCUUGAAGCCAGCAAGAAACACUAUGAAUGAAAUACUUACUUACAAUUCCUGUCAAUAAGUUGAUUUAGUAAUUUCUCUGAAAGCAGACACCUUAAAGCAAAAUUGAUGAAAGAAAAGAUGUAUCUGUUCACUGUAUUUUGACCAAAUUCCAGCAGAUUUGCACAAUUUUUUAGAAUAAAAAAUCAACUAAAAUAACAACAUCUUUGUUCAUGUUUACAUAUCUAUACUUGAAAUUCAGCUUGUAAUUCCCCAAAAUCAAGCCUGCUUACCAAUAACCAAUAUCAAAAUUUAAUAAAUGAAUCUAAGAUACAUAAAGAAUCAAAAUUGGCUUCGACUAAACACACCAAGCCAAGAAAGAACAUCAGCCACAACUUCCAUCACGAGUUAAAAGCAACUAAACAAAAAAAAAAUUACUUCGGAAGCGGAGUCUUCGGAUUGUGACUGAGAAGCUUUAAGAAAUCGGCAUCUCCUGCUGCUGUUGUUAUUGAUUACCGGAAUGUUUGCAUUUUUGGGCAAACAAAAACAAAAGCCUCUGGAGGAAAUGGGUUUCAAGGGAAAAUGGGUUUGGAAAUAAUUUGAAGAAGAUGAAGGAAGGGAUGGGCGAUGAGGAGAAGCAUAUGAACAAAGAUAAGCUGUUGAAGCUGAAGCUGUUGGUGCCGCCGCCAUAGAAGUUUCUAGUAUUAUCACUGAAGAUUGAAAGGGAGGAGUCUGGUAAUUUCACACCAAGCGGAGGAAGAAGAAGGUGGAGUUGGUGUAGGGGUUUUGGGAUAAGAGAAAACGAUGUCGUUAAGUCAGAAAGCCGAAAACGACAAAAAAGAAUAAAAUAAAAACAAAAGGCCCAACUUAGCCUUAUUCUAGAUACAUCUUCACGCGUGUGCUGCAUUUUCUGGUCUCUCACUAGCGCCAAAACAGCUGCAUUUGAGUUGAGUUCAACAGUUGACAACUCGAAUUUUAACUAAAAUAUCGCUGAGUUUUUAGAAACCGAAUCGUGCUAGCUCGAUUUUAGUUUAACUUUUCUUUUUUGCCGUAACUGCACGUUUAACAUAACCUAACCUACUCUUACUUCUACCAGGGGAACCUACUCUAUAAGAUGGCUUAAUUGAGUCAGAAAACCUGACGAGAACUGAACAAUCAUUAAACUAAACGGAUGCACCACACACUCAAUGGAUUUUGAACUCUUAACCUCCCACCCCACAAUAAAUGCGAUGACCAAUUCCUCUUGAGGGAGUUUUAGUUUAACUUGAGUUCAUAAAAAUUCGAGAUCGAGCUAGAUCGAUUUUAGUUUUACUUGAGUUUGAACUUAAGUUAAUUGAGUUUGAUGAAAUCUAAUCAAGUUUAAUGGAGUCUAUUCAAUCUAAUCAAAUUCACCUAAUAAAAUGAUAUUUCGAUAUUUCGCUUGUAUUAUAAACACAUUUUUUAAUUUACUUUUUUCUAUUUUCAACCAUUUUUUUUAUCUCACGUACAUCAUAUCACAAAAAAUGUUACAGUAAUUAUUUCAAAUAAUACUCUAUCUUACAUAUAAUUUUAAACAAAGAAUAUAAUCGAUAUUUUACAAUAAUAAACAUAAAAAAUAAAAAUAAUAUAUAUGUGUGUGUAUGUGGGUGCAUGUGUGUGUGUGUCGGUUAGAUUUGUCAAGCUUACAAGUUUAGAAAUAUAAUACUCAAGCACGAUUUUUAAGUAUUUUGAAGUUGUUUAAACUUGACUCGAGUUUAGUCAAUGUCUAACUCAAGCCGGAUAGUUGAGUUAGUUACUCGCGAAUUUGAGUCUAAUAGCUUGAUCAACUCGCAGUCCUAGUUUACUGAACGACUACUUGACCCGUGAAAGGGAAAAGUGACCCGACCGGUAGUAUUGAUUGAACACAAAUUUGAACUGUAUCCAUCCGUAGUUAUAAAUCAAUAUGGGUGGGUAAGGGUCAAGUAUGCGCUCCAUGCAUCACUUGACCGAUGUCAGGAUAUGAAAUUGUUGAAUUGAGAUUAAUUGGGUAUAUUUCAAUUAAAGGUCAAAACGAUGUCGUUUGGGUUAGUAGUUAGUUAAAGUAGUUACUUAGCAAUUGCAGGUUGUUAAGUUUGUUAUAAGUAGAGGACCCACGCAUGAGAGAUACAGACUUUGUUUUUGGUAAUCAGAUGUAUUUCAAUUCCUCUUUCUAAAUUCUAUUUCUUCCCCAUUCUCUCUGAUUCUCUCCCUCUCUGCAAUCUUCAGCUCAUUUCCCAACUUAAUCCCCAAUCGUAACUCAGAUAUAAACAAUUGCACUUAAGUUCCUGACAAAUUGGUAUCAGAGCAAGAGAUCCUUGGAAAUUACCAUUAGCAAUGGCAGAAGGCACUAGAUUCCGGUCAUUGGAGGAGCAAGUUAAGAAACAAGAAAUCAAGCUGCAGGAAUUGGUAGAAUCUCUCCAUACAUCACAGUCGGAGCAGCAGCAAAUUAAAAAGGAAUUGAAACAGGAACUGGAGGAGAGUAGCAAACGGAUGGAAGGCCUAUUAUUAGGUAUGGAGCAGAAUUUUCUCAAAAUUUUGGAGCAAAAGCUGAACAAUCUUCUGCUAAGGACUCCUAUGAAGGAGAAGACUACUGAAGGGGAUGGAAGAUUGCCAGUAGAUCAGACGCCACUGUUACCAACUCCACCAGCUCACUGCAGGAUACAACCUGAAGGCGAAGCUCAGAAACUCUUCAAGAAGGACUGGAGUAAGUUUCAGAUUCCAAAUCCUCCUAAAAUUGAUUUACAGCUAUUUUCUGGAGAACAUCCUAGGGUUUGGCUGAGGAAAUGUAAUAAAUACUUUUUGAAUUAUCAAGUUCCACACGAGCAUAAAAUUGAAAUCAUUGAAAUGUAUCUGGAUGGCAAGGCUGACAAAUGGUUCCAAGGUGUAAAAAUUGAAAAGCCUAGAUUAGGAUGGGAGGAAUUUGAAGAUAUGUUAUGUAGGAGGUUUAAUGAUAGAUCGUGUAAGGAUAUAGUGGAAGAAUUCAAUAAACUGCAACAAGUAGGCAGUAUCGAGGACUAUCAGGAGAGAUUUGAGGAGCUGAAGCCUUUGAUGAUGAUCAAAAAUAGAAACCUGGAUGAAAACUAUUUUAUUUCCAGUUUCAUAAGUGGACUUAAGGAAGAAAUUAAGCCUGUGGUCAGGAUGCUGAAACCUGCCACACUAUCUGAAGCCUUCGAGCUAUCUCAAUGGCAAGAGCAAGUCAUAAGAAUCCAGAAUAAAAGCUCCAAGGAAAACACCAGGCCAAUGGGAGAAAACAAAUUUGGCAUAACCAGAAGUGCUAACACUUCUGUUGGAACAAAUUCUUACAAGGUCCCUGCCACUAGCAAUUUUAAGCACACUAAGUUUAGGAGUUCACCAGGGGAUACUAAGGAACCAGCAAAGUUGUCUGCUCAGGAGUUGCAGUAUAGGAGGAGUAAUGGAUUGUGUUUCAGGUGCGGAGAGAAGUAUGGAAUGGGACAUCAGUGUAGAGUGGGUCACUCAAAUUGUAUGACACUGGAAGAGGAGGAGGAUUCUGCAUUUGAGGAUGCCCUUGGAGAACAAGAUGAACAGACUGGGAAUCCUGGACAGGCCAUGGAAGUGUCACUGCAUGCUUUAUCUGAGGCUCUUAAGAGAAAAACUAUUACACUCUCUGGAAUCUUAGAUGGGGAGGAAGUACUGAUAUUGGUGGACACUGGGAGCUCAGACAGCUACAUUAGCAGUGAGCUUGUAAUUGGGAUGGACAUAGGCUAUCAGUGGGUGGAUCAACCAUUCUCUGUCAUAAUGGGGAAUGGAUCAUGUGUCACCAGCAAUGCAAUAUGCAAUGGGGUGCAGUGGAGGAUUAAUCAACACAACUUCAGGUAUAACCUCAAGGUAAUGGAACUGGGAGGUUGGGACAUAAUCCUAGGAGUGGACUGGAUGACACACUUCAGUCCCAUCACAUUCGACUUCCAACAACUCAGGAUAUCCCUGCACCAUGAAGGAGAUGAAAUCCAUCUACAUGGCCAAGCCGAUAACUGUGACAUGGAUUUGAUCAGGGGCAAGGACUUAAGAACAUUUAUAGAAUACAAGAAACAGAUGUGUAUGGCUAUGUGUGGCCAAUAGGAAAAAGACAGACAAGGGAAGUCAGAAACCACACCUCAAGAGGUAGAGGCCCUGCUACAGGACUAUAAGGAUGUCUUCCAGACUCCUAGCUCAUUACCCCCAAGUAGGAGCGUAGACCAUGAGAUUCCUCUCAAACAGGAGGCUCAGCCAUUCAAACUUAAGCCUUACAGAUAUCCUCACUGUCACAAGGAGGAGAUAGAGAGACAGGUUACUGAAAUGCUGCAGAAAGGUAUUGUGAAACACAGUAACAGCCCCUUUGCCUCCCCUGUACUACUAGUCAAGAAGAAGGAAGGCACCUGGAGGUUUUGUGUGGACUACAGGAAGCUGAAUGAGAUCACUAUUAAAGACAGAUUUCCAAUACCCAAUGUAGAUGAACUGUUGGAUGAGUUAUCAGGAGCUGUGUUCAAAACCAAGUUAGCAAUGGAGGCUUUCAGUAAACAGCAGCAACUAACAUUGCAGACAACUAUUACAAAAAAGAUUCUAAGCUAGAAGAAUUACAUGUAAACACUGAAAGUUUCAGAUGAAUUUUCCAGUGACACUCAAUCUCUCGUCAAGCUGAUUAAAAGCAGUAUUAUUGCCUUGAAAAUUUCGUUUUAUUUCAUGGUUCCAAGUGUUCAAAGAGUAGCGUAAGCAAAGAAAUUUGAUCUCUGGAUGAGAGGUUCAUUGCAUAUGGAGAUUUAACACUAAGUUUGGGUUGGGACAUUGGGCCAAAUGUAACAAAGUAUUACGGGGUACAUUCGUGGUAAAUUUCAUUUUCUGGAAGCUGGAACAGAUGAUAGUUACCUAAACAAAGAAACUUACUCCCAGAUUUAUUAUGGAGGAAGAGACAAUAUUUGGCUUUUCUUUUGGGUUGGGGGGGGAGGGGGGGGAAUACACCUAUUAAAAACUUUUGGCCUUCAUAAUGUAAAUACCCCUUAUUUUCAGAGAAAAGAAUUUCUUAUGGGUGGCAUUGCAAGUGGAAGGACAUUUCUGAUAAGUUGGAAGUAUGUCAGGCCAAUUAUAGAGAAGAUUAAUCAUUCUUGUUCUGAGAGUUGUAACUGAUGCUUGGUUACAAAAAGUUACCGAACAAAAUGCUACAUGGAGAAGCCCAACGGCCUAAAAGUUUAAGUUUUAAGAUGAAAACUGCUAUGAAAUGCUCCUUUACAAAUGAAUCGGAGAUUGACAGGAAUCAAGAAUUUCCAAACUUGUCUAUCUAAGAUAAAUCACUACUAUACAAAAAGCCUUUUCUUGGAAAUCAAGUAUGCCAAAGCACAUGAAUUCCAAACCUAUUCUUUAAAACUUUUAAUAGUUUGGGUGCUAUUGUUCAUGUUGCAGAAAUUGAGGCAAGAAUGACCUCUUGCAAAAAAAUAAACAAGAGGAACUUACAAGACAAAAUGAAUCGUGUUCAGCAGCUAAUCUAGGACCUAAGGAACUUCAAUCUCAAAUUGCUAGCUCUCCAAGCUUCGUACUUUUAAUUUCAUCCAGUUGAGUAUUCUCAGCAUGAAAAAUAUCUCAGUCCAUAUGCAUUUUUUGUAGUAGCUUUGUAUUUCUCAAUUACAAUCAUGAAGAACAAUGCUAUUGUGUAUCUUUCCACAUGGAUGCAAACAUUCAACACCACAAACCAUCAGAUGGUAACUGUAAAACUUGACAAGUUCAAUGCCAACUUUCUAGGUCUGAUCUUUCUUUUCCACAUUUUUUAUCCCUCAAGCUUGUCACCUCAAAAUUUAAGUGUCCACCAUCACUCAACAAUCACAACCACAACAGCCUAUUUUCACCUUCUUGGUGCUGUAUUUCAGCUUCCAUUGCAGUUUAUAAAGUUGUCCUGAUUGGAGAGAAGGAAAUAGAGCUUUUGGGGGUGUACCAAGACAGUAUGAAUAUGAAAAUUUUACUGCCUUCACCCAAAACUGAAGGCCAUAGUUCGACUAAAGAGAAUAUGAAUAAAAAAACUGAAUAACAUAAUAGCCCAAAGAGAGUGUGAACAGAAUACAGGAAUUCCAAUAGAGUUAGUGAAAAACAUGUAGAUGAACCCUUUAAUCAUUUCUGUUAUACACAAAGGAUACAUCAAAUGAAGAAAUAUCAAAGAAAACAACAAUUCUUUUUGGGGAGGCCAAAACAAGAAAUCAGAAUUCGAAACACCAGGGAGUUUAUAAUUCUCCAUACUUUCUUGGAGUAGGCAAUCUUGUGAAUUCAUGGACGUAUAACAAAUAUACUUCCAAAACAGCCUACUUUUCUUGCAAAAAUGAUUGCAACCCAUAAUAGUGGUUCAGUUCUUAUAGGCUUGGUUUACAUUGUUUUACAACCUGGCCAACUAUCAUAGUACUUCUAGGUGGAUAACUAAUCCAGUCAAACUAGGAUACCAGGUCCUGAUUUAAUAUGUAAGGGGAUCCAAUACUGUAUCUUCAUUACAGUUGCUCCAGCAUCAUUUCUUUCUCGUCGAGUCUCAGCCUGACGGCCUACUCAAGGGUUCCCCACCAAUAAUCAACUAAAUUUGGAAAACCAAAACUUCACUAAAUUUCUAAGCAUUAGCACAUUUAUUCACCAAAAAUUAUUUAGCCCCUCAGACUAGAGGGUACAUUUGCUUAUCUGGGUUGAGGUCUCAGUUUUACCAUCUGCAUCAAAGUUUUGAAAGAGUUCAUAAGUGGCUAAAUCUGCCACCAACCAAUCAGUUAUAGAUCCUGCUGAAAGUAAGAAAAAAGAAAUCAGCAGGAAUGCUGGAAGCAAUAAGAGUGUUGGCUUACCAUAGGAUCAAAUAAUGUCCCAACAGUUGGUACAACAGAUACACCCAAGUUCUUCAUGAUUUCUACAAAUUGCUUGUAUAUGCCCUGAUAACUUGCAUCAAUUUUCUUUUCCUGCUCUGUCUCUAGUUUCAUAUGUUGCUUGGCUCGUUCAAAGUUAUCUACCAUAGGCAAGAGACUCUCAAUCACUUCUCCCUGGGCAUUACUCCUUAUUGUUAGCUUCUCAUUCUCUGUUCUCUUCCUGAAGUUGUCAAAAUCUGCUUGCAAACGAACAUACUUGUCCUUCUGAGCACCAAUUUCAUCUGACAAAACAGAAACCUUUUCUAACAACUCAUUCCUCUCCUUUUCUACCAUGUGUAUUAUCUCUUCAAAAUCGGAUAUACUUUUCUCAUCUCCAUUUAAAAUGGCCUCCUUAUAAGCUGAGAUAGUAGACUCCAAUCUUGAAGGAAGUUCUUGGUCCGCUUCCUCUUCUGUUUUACUGAGAGGAGUCUCAUCUUCAUCAUCAGUCUAUCAUGUAUCACAUUGAUAUUAUUAAGCAUGCAAUGGCAGCUAUAAAAGUACUCAAAAUUUCUACCAUUAUACAGAAAAUUUAUAUGGUUGAUGAAAAAUUACCAUUACUUGUUACCUUUGUAAAUGAACUGAACAUUGCAUGAGAUAAGAACCAAUAAUAGGUUCAAAACAGAGACACUGACAGAGGAAGCGAUCUCUAAACUUUGAAGUAUGAGACACACACUGUAAAGUAUACAGACAUGGUACACUAACUCUCUCUCUCUCUCUCUCUCUCUGUUUUGAUUCAUUGGUGGUGGUGUAAGGGGAACUCAACUUAACCUCGUCCCGUUUUAAUAGUUUUUGAAAAAAGAGACAAACAAAACUUCAUUUUUCAGCAGCAGCCUUGAAGCCAGCAAGAAACACUAUGAAUGAAAUACUUACUUACAAUUCCUGUCAAUAAGUUGAUUUAGUAAUUUCUCUGAAAGCAGACACCUUAAAGCAAAAUUGAUGAAAGAAAAGAUGUAUCUGUUCACUGUAUUUUGACCAAAUUCCAGCAGAUUUGCACAAUUUUUUAGAAUAAAAAAUCAACUAAAAUAACAACAUCUUUGUUCAUGUUUACAUAUCUAUACUUGAAAUUCAGCUUGUAAUUCCCCAAAAUCAAGCCUGCUUACCAAUAACCAAUAUCAAAAUUUAAUAAAUGAAUCUAAGAUACAUAAAGAAUCAAAAUUGGCUUCGACUAAACACACCAAGCCAAGAAAGAACAUCAGCCACAACUUCCAUCACGAGUUAAAAGCAACUAAACAAAAAAAAAAUUACUUCGGAAGCGGAGUCUUCGGAUUGUGACUGAGAAGCUUUAAGAAAUCGGCAUCUCCUGCUGCUGUUGUUAUUGAUUACCGGAAUGUUUGCAUUUUUGGGCAAACAAAAACAAAAGCCUCUGGAGGAAAUGGGUUUCAAGGGAAAAUGGGUUUGGAAAUAAUUUGAAGAAGAUGAAGGAAGGGAUGGGCGAUGAGGAGAAGCAUAUGAACAAAGAUAAGCUGUUGAAGCUGAAGCUGUUGGUGCCGCCGCCAUAGAAGUUUCUAGUAUUAUCACUGAAGAUUGAAAGGGAGGAGUCUGGUAAUUUCACACCAAGCGGAGGAAGAAGAAGGUGGAGUUGGUGUAGGGGUUUUGGGAUAAGAGAAAACGAUGUCGUUAAGUCAGAAAGCCGAAAACGACAAAAAAGAAUAAAAUAAAAACAAAAGGCCCAACUUAGCCUUAUUCUAGAUACAUCUUCACGCGUGUGCUGCAUUUUCUGGUCUCUCACUAGCGCCAAAACAGCUGCAUUUGAGUUGAGUUCAACAGUUGACAACUCGAAUUUUAACUAAAAUAUCGCUGAGUUUUUAGAAACCGAAUCGUGCUAGCUCGAUUUUAGUUUAACUUUUCUUUUUUGCCGUAACUGCACGUUUAACAUAACCUAACCUACUCUUACUUCUACCAGGGGAACCUACUCUAUAAGAUGGCUUAAUUGAGUCAGAAAACCUGACGAGAACUGAACAAUCAUUAAACUAAACGGAUGCACCACACACUCAAUGGAUUUUGAACUCUUAACCUCCCACCCCACAAUAAAUGCGAUGACCAAUUCCUCUUGAGGGAGUUUUAGUUUAACUUGAGUUCAUAAAAAUUCGAGAUCGAGCUAGAUCGAUUUUAGUUUUACUUGAGUUUGAACUUAAGUUAAUUGAGUUUGAUGAAAUCUAAUCAAGUUUAAUGGAGUCUAUUCAAUCUAAUCAAAUUCACCUAAUAAAAUGAUAUUUCGAUAUUUCGCUUGUAUUAUAAACACAUUUUUUAAUUUACUUUUUUCUAUUUUCAACCAUUUUUUUUAUCUCACGUACAUCAUAUCACAAAAAAUGUUACAGUAAUUAUUUCAAAUAAUACUCUAUCUUACAUAUAAUUUUAAACAAAGAAUAUAAUCGAUAUUUUACAAUAAUAAACAUAAAAAAUAAAAAUAAUAUAUAUGUGUGUGUAUGUGGGUGCAUGUGUGUGUGUGUCGGUUAGAUUUGUCAAGCUUACAAGUUUAGAAAUAUAAUACUCAAGCACGAUUUUUAAGUAUUUUGAAGUUGUUUAAACUUGACUCGAGUUUAGUCAAUGUCUAACUCAAGCCGGAUAGUUGAGUUAGUUACUCGCGAAUUUGAGUCUAAUAGCUUGAUCAACUCGCAGUCCUAGUUUACUGAACGACUACUUGACCCGUGAAAGGGAAAAGUGACCCGACCGGUAGUAUUGAUUGAACACAAAUUUGAACUGUAUCCAUCCGUAGUUAUAAAUCAAUAUGGGUGGGUAAGGGUCAAGUAUGCGCUCCAUGCAUCACUUGACCGAUGUCAGGAUAUGAAAUUGUUGAAUUGAGAUUAAUUGGGUAUAUUUCAAUUAAAGGUCAAAACGAUGUCGUUUGGGUUAGUAGUUAGUUAAAGUAGUUACUUAGCAAUUGCAGGUUGUUAAGUUUGUUAUAAGUAGAGGACCCACGCAUGAGAGAUACAGACUUUGUUUUUGGUAAUCAGAUGUAUUUCAAUUCCUCUUUCUAAAUUCUAUUUCUUCCCCAUUCUCUCUGAUUCUCUCCCUCUCUGCAAUCUUCAGCUCAUUUCCCAACUUAAUCCCCAAUCGUAACUCAGAUAUAAACAAUUGCACUUAAGUUCCUGACAAAUUGGUAUCAGAGCAAGAGAUCCUUGGAAAUUACCAUUAGCAAUGGCAGAAGGCACUAGAUUCCGGUCAUUGGAGGAGCAAGUUAAGAAACAAGAAAUCAAGCUGCAGGAAUUGGUAGAAUCUCUCCAUACAUCACAGUCGGAGCAGCAGCAAAUUAAAAAGGAAUUGAAACAGGAACUGGAGGAGAGUAGCAAACGGAUGGAAGGCCUAUUAUUAGGUAUGGAGCAGAAUUUUCUCAAAAUUUUGGAGCAAAAGCUGAACAAUCUUCUGCUAAGGACUCCUAUGAAGGAGAAGACUACUGAAGGGGAUGGAAGAUUGCCAGUAGAUCAGACGCCACUGUUACCAACUCCACCAGCUCACUGCAGGAUACAACCUGAAGGCGAAGCUCAGAAACUCUUCAAGAAGGACUGGAGUAAGUUUCAGAUUCCAAAUCCUCCUAAAAUUGAUUUACAGCUAUUUUCUGGAGAACAUCCUAGGGUUUGGCUGAGGAAAUGUAAUAAAUACUUUUUGAAUUAUCAAGUUCCACACGAGCAUAAAAUUGAAAUCAUUGAAAUGUAUCUGGAUGGCAAGGCUGACAAAUGGUUCCAAGGUGUAAAAAUUGAAAAGCCUAGAUUAGGAUGGGAGGAAUUUGAAGAUAUGUUAUGUAGGAGGUUUAAUGAUAGAUCGUGUAAGGAUAUAGUGGAAGAAUUCAAUAAACUGCAACAAGUAGGCAGUAUCGAGGACUAUCAGGAGAGAUUUGAGGAGCUGAAGCCUUUGAUGAUGAUCAAAAAUAGAAACCUGGAUGAAAACUAUUUUAUUUCCAGUUUCAUAAGUGGACUUAAGGAAGAAAUUAAGCCUGUGGUCAGGAUGCUGAAACCUGCCACACUAUCUGAAGCCUUCGAGCUAUCUCAAUGGCAAGAGCAAGUCAUAAGAAUCCAGAAUAAAAGCUCCAAGGAAAACACCAGGCCAAUGGGAGAAAACAAAUUUGGCAUAACCAGAAGUGCUAACACUUCUGUUGGAACAAAUUCUUACAAGGUCCCUGCCACUAGCAAUUUUAAGCACACUAAGUUUAGGAGUUCACCAGGGGAUACUAAGGAACCAGCAAAGUUGUCUGCUCAGGAGUUGCAGUAUAGGAGGAGUAAUGGAUUGUGUUUCAGGUGCGGAGAGAAGUAUGGAAUGGGACAUCAGUGUAGAGUGGGUCACUCAAAUUGUAUGACACUGGAAGAGGAGGAGGAUUCUGCAUUUGAGGAUGCCCUUGGAGAACAAGAUGAACAGACUGGGAAUCUUGGACAGGCCAUGGAAGUGUCACUGCAUGCUUUAUCUGAGGCUCUUAAGAGAAAAACUAUUACACUCUCUGGAAUCUUAGAUGGGGAGGAAGUACUGAUAUUGGUGGACACUGGGAGCUCAGACAGCUACAUUAGCAGUGAGCUUGUAAUUGGGAUGGACAUAGGCUAUCAGUGGGUGGAUCAACCAUUCUCUGUCAUAAUGGGGAAUGGAUCAUGUGUCACCAGCAAUGCAAUAUGCAAUGGGGUGCAGUGGAGGAUUAAUCAACACAACUUCAGGUAUAACCUCAAGGUAAUGGAACUGGGAGGUUGGGACAUAAUCCUAGGAGUGGACUGGAUGACACACUUCAGUCCCAUCACAUUCGACUUCCAACAACUCAGGAUAUCCCUGCACCAUGAAGGAGAUGAAAUCCAUCUACAUGGCCAAGCCGAUAACUGUGACAUGGAUUUGAUCAGGGGCAAGGACUUAAGAACAUUUAUAGAAUACAAGAAACAGAUGUGUAUGGCUAUGUGUGGCCAACAGGAAAAAGACAGACAAGGGAAGUCAGAAACCACACCUCAAGAGGUAGAGGCCCUGCUACAGGACUAUAAGGAUGUCUUUCAGACUCCUAGCUCAUUACCCCCAAGUAGGAGCGUAGACCAUGAGAUUCCUCUCAAACAGGAGGCUCAGCCAUUCAAACUUAAGCCUUACAGAUAUCCUCACUGUCACAAGGAGGAGAUAGAGAGACAGGUUACUGAAAUGCUGCAGAAAGGUAUUGUGAAACACAGUAACAGCCCCUUUGCCUCCCCUGUACUACUAGUCAAGAAGAAGGAAGGCACCUGGAGGUUUUGUGUGGACUACAGGAAGCUGAAUGAGAUCACUAUUAAAGACAGAUUUCCAAUACCCAAUGUAGAUGAACUGUUGGAUGAGUUAUCAGGAGCUGUGUUCAAAACCAAGUUAGGAAGCUUACAACAAUAACAAAAAAUAAAAUAAUUUUAAAAUGUAAAAAUAUGAAAAUAUGAGCAUUUAUAAAUACAAUAACAAGUAAUUUUGUAGAAAUACAUAACUACUCCUAUUAUUUAGCACAACAAAUGAUGUUUUAACUAUAUAUAUAUAUAUAUGUAUGUAUGUAUAUGUAUGUAUUUCUAGAUACAUAUUUGGUCAUUAGAUCAUUUCUUGAUUUUUAAAAUUUUGACUUAUUUAUAAAUUUUUUUCUAUAAGUAGGAUUUAUAUUACAAACCACACGUAUGAAGAGAUUAUUUUAAUUUUAGUAACACUUAAAUUAUAUCAUGUAUUAAAAAAAUAUUUUCUAAUAAAAUUUCUUGACUUAUAAUUGUCUAACUAAAAUUUUCAAGGUGUUAAUUACUUACCAAAAUCUUUCUAAAUGGUUGAUUUUGACUAGAUUUAAUUUAUCCAUGUUUUUUCCUAUCCCACAACUACCUUGAUACAAAGAAAUAUGGACCAAUAUUGGAUAGUGAUUUGGUUAUUUUUUAUCUAUAAUUUUUGGUUUAAAAAUUUUCGUUUUGUUUGGUUUUUUGUUAAAUAGUGAUUAAGAGUGCAAGGAUAAUAUUGUCAAUUUGUGACUUUUGAUAAGGAUAUUUAGUCUUGUCAAACUGAUAGGGAAGGUAAGUGAAAUUUAAAAACCUUAAGAGAGUUGAGUGAUAUUGUGAAAAACCUCAAGAAAGGUUUUUGAAAUUAUCCCCUAGAUUUGUAGAAACCAUUUAGAGUAAGCGUCAAUUCCAGUUUUGCUCACCAUUGGCUUCACUGCCACAUCCUAUGGUAGUUCAAUAGUAGCUAUAAUUUUAUAGGGUUUUUUUAUCACUUUUUUCUCUUAUUUUUUGUCUCCUAUAAAUAGAAUAUCAAGAAGCAUUGAAAGUAUCAUUAAGAAGGUUACAAACAAUGUAGUUGUUAACUAAAAUAUAUAUAUAUUUAUUUAAAAAUCUAGUGUAGGAUUAGUGUAGAAUUUAUUUGUUUUUGCAAUUAAAAUUUGGGAAAGAGUUGAAAAUUCAAUGAAAUGGAGCUUUUCUUCGGUAUUUUGGCAUUAGAACUUCUUUCCUUUACUCUUUAUUUCUUGGUAUUCGAAUUCAAUGUUUAGUUUUAAAGUAAAUUUGUGUUUCUUUUCAUUUUAUUAUGAGUUACUAAAUUUUAUUCACUAGGGUUAGGAUGAAGUUUCUUCUUUGUUAGAUGAAUUCAACCUGGUUAGUUUUACUAUAGUUUGUAUAAGCUAUUAAUACAUUUGUUUUUAUAAUUACAGUGAACAAACCAUUAUUUGUAAUCGAUUGUAAUUCCUAGUUUGUAAAAGCACUAAAUCGAAGUUGUAGACUCAUGAAAAUAAAUACACAUUUGUGGCUCAAAACAGGCAAUUUCACGAAAGCUAAUGAACUUGUAGCAAGUUUUAUACCACGAAAGUAUGGAGUUGUAUAAUAGAUAUGUGGGUACACUAGCAAAAGUAGAUAUCUCAUACGUUAAGAGAUUAUGUCAUUGUUUAGCCAACAAAUGAAAACUCAAUUUGGCAGUUUAUUGUUAUUUUUUCUACCAUUUUUUAUAUGUUUUGUAAUUUAGAUUAAUUUACUCGCUAUUAUCAUCAGUCUAAUUAAUAGAAGAGUUACAUCAAUGAAUUGAUUAAUUUUUCUUGUUAGAUCGACACUCAAAUUCUCUUGCUAACUUGUGUACUUGUAGAAGAAAAAGUCAAGUUUAAAUAAACUUUAUACCAAGUUUCUGGCAUGUAUUGCCAGGAAAGAAGCCAAUCAAUGUCAAUAUUAAGCACAUAUUUUAUUAGUUUAGACACUUUAAUUCUUGUUUCUAGUGUUUUAAAUAUCUAGGAUAGUGUGUUAUCGGUUUCAUUUCGUGUUUUUAAUUAAUUUUAUUUGCAAUACUUAGUUACUAUCUAUUUUCUUGACUAAUUGUGCUUUUGAAAUAGAAUUAAAGAAAAUUUUAGGAGUUGAAGGAAGAUAUUUCAAGAAAAGCAGAAAAGUUAUGAGAGAAGGAAGAUCAAUACUACUUCUAAUGCACCAAUAGAAGAGAUAACCAAAGAAGUGCUCCGAGUAUACUUGAUUCAGAUGAAAUUAUAUUAUUAAAAACUAAAUUGGACAAUUUGAUGCGCAUGAUUGAACAAAAUUGGAAAGUAAUGUCCUUUCAAAUUAUAGAACUUCUACUUUAUGUGGUGGAUAGCAUGCUACUUAUGAAUGUAUGCAAGUAUAAUAUAUGGAUCAUUUUGAUGAAUUUCAGUAAUAUAAUUCCCAUUUUAGUCAAAGUAAUCUUGGUUGCAUGAAAUAUUUUAAUUUUGAAUUAAGGAAUCAAUGUAACUAUGGUGAAUCUAUUACUUUCCCUAUUUUCUAAUUGGAAUUUGUGCAAAAUGAAUCUACAUUAUCUUAGGAGUUAGCCAUUAAACAGCUAGCAAAUGUGACUUCUAAACACUUUGAGAAAUGCAACAAUAAUUAGAUAGAAUUGAAUAAAGGAUAAAUCAAAUCACUUUGAACCUCAAAGUAAUGGUUGAACUAUUAGAUAAGUUAAUGAAUGCUAUACAUGAAGUUAAUUCACCUAGUAAAAUUAAAAUCAACUGCAGAUGGAAUAGUAAAGUUGUCACAUAGGAAAGUGAAUUGCACUUUGAAGAAAUGAUGAACAUAAUUGAAACUAUAAUGAGAACAUUUUCGCUUCACUAGAUAAUGUCUUGGAAGUUGGACCUUGAACAUCAAUAGAUAACUAUUAACAAUUAUUUUUAAACCUAAGUUCAAAAGACAUCAUCAAUCAAGCUAAACCUAUUGGAUUUUUUUAGUGAGUUCUCAUGUAAUACACAAAAGAGAUACUGUCAAAGAAACACUUGAAAGAGGUAAAACACUUCCGCCUCUCUCACUAUUUGAUUAUAUGGCUCUUAAAAUUAAACCACCUUUUGAGCUACUGAGGUGGAUAAAUAUUCUUCCUUUCAACUUAAUGGCUAUAUAUUAUGUAAGAAAUAAUCCAUUCAUGGUAGAUAGAAGUGGAUUGGAGUUGCUUUUUGUUGCCUUACCAUGACUUAAAAUAGUGAAUUAUUCCUUCAAGAAAUCUCCUUGAAAUAUGGAAGUAUAGUCAAGUUAAUAACUAGAAAGAAGCACAUGUUAGGAGCCACCUAAUAUUAUUUCCAUUUCAUUUCCAUAGCUUUUGCUUUAGUUACUUUUUUUUUUGGGUGUGUAAUAAUUGGGUUAUGGUACUUUGAUAUCUUGUCAUUUAUUUUGAUGCCUCUUUAAUGAAUUUGCCAAGUUUGUCUAUCUUCAUUUGUGUAAGAGCAAGUUGAAUGUUCAUCAUAGGAUAACAAUCAAACUUUACCACAUUAAUGCUGACUCAUGUUAACAUAUAGUGGGAGUAUCUCAUGCUAAUUUGUUUCAUGUCUAUCUGUGUUAAAGAUAAUUUGAAACUUAGGAGUGAAGAACGUGUUUUGAGUUGAAACUUGAUACUUUCCUAUUUGUUGAUAUGAGCUCAUGAGCAGGACAUCUUGAGAUUGUGAUUGUGUGAUAGGUUAUAAUUUGUUACUACAUUUAUAAUUAUUUUUCCCUUUGAUUUUAGCCAAAUAUUAUAUUAAUUGACGAAUUCUACUUAUAUUUGGUUAAUGGUGCUAAUUGUAGGAAAAUAAUCAAAACAUGAUUAAAAGGGACAAUUUCCAGCUAAUUUAGUAGUGGCACAUUCAAGUUCAGAAGAUUUAGGAUUAGAAGUUUCCAAGUCCGAGUAGAAGUCAACAAGAGCACGAGGUUGAAGAUUGGGAGAAUUUCUUUAAUAGUUAUUUUUAUAUUUUUAGGAAACGAUUCACAUUAUCUUCAGCAACUUUUCCUUUUCAAUUAGGAGAUUUCCUAGCUUGAUUGGUGCGGAUGAAGAGCAAAGUGGAGUCAAAGUGGGGCUCUUUCCUCUAGUCUUCAUAUGGCCGUAUAAGACAAGGAAACAAUUAAAAGAAAAAGGAAGUAGACUUAGCUUAGGAGAUUGAUUCCUUUCUUUUAGCGGGUUGGCCUUGUUGUUUUUCUUGGUCCGUCUCUUCUAUUAGUACGACGGAGAACAUAGCUUUGUUUGCGGGAAUGACUUCUGCAAUUUUGCAUGGAAUUUCCUCCAUGAAGAUGAAAUAACUUCUUUUUCUAGUCAAGGGUUAAUUUGAAGACGCGGUUUCAAAUAUCUAUGAGAUCGAAUUAUUUUACUUAUUUCUUUUAUUCAUUAGUAUUCGUACGUUUUCUAGUUUAAUUGCUUAUGAUUGUUUUGUUAUUUGAAUAUCAAGGGCCCGAUAUUUGAAUUAACCUAAUAAUCUACUGUCAUAUUAAUUGAUUGAAUCCGUAAUUAUUCAGUUGGUUAAUACCAGUGGUGACUAAUGUGAUUGGUUUCAUGUUAGGGAAACGUAUGAUCUAACUUAAACAGACUCUCGUAGCGUGUUUGUUGGUUUGGUUUAGAUUUUUCUAAUUCUUAUUGCAAUCGAGAAAUUAAAUCCUAUGGUCGUACUUAGGGUUGUCUCUUGGUUAGAGAAAUAGUCAACGGUCUUACCUUGACUAUCAAACAAGUAAGGAAAUGCUGGUUGUUUAUCGCGUGUAUGACAACUAUAACCAAUCUAUUAAUGAGUAAUUGAAUUAUCUCUGCAUCGAUGAUCAGUUGAAUGGACCGUAUCUGAAAAGUUACACAUUUGACUAGAGUCAUAUUGGUUGUUGAUUAAUUCCUGUUUAUUUCUAUUAGUUAUUUUAUUAGUUGGUUAAUUAGUCAUUUUAUAUUUUUCAAAAAUCCCCCAUCUCUGGACUCUAAAAGAAAUAAGUUAUCCCCAAUCUCUGUGGAUUCGACCCUACUCACCGCUAUAUACAAAAUUUAUAUUUUUCUCGAGAAGGUAUUUAUUAUUGUACAGGCUCGACAGCCUAUCAUUGUGUGAACUUAAAAUUUUUUUUAUUUUGAGAAUGGUACUGUAUUAUAAAGUUUGUCAUGCCGAGAUUUCUUUGAGUUAAUGAAAUCUAUUGUUCAUAUUAUAUUUAUGUGAGUUGGGACUAGAAUAAUUGAUGAAUACAAGACUUUUUUUAGUGAUUGUCUCUUUUGUUCUAGGUUUUUUUUCCAAGGAUUAAGUAAAGUAGUUUUCUCUUUUGCAAGAGAAAAAAAGGAAGAAAAAGAAAUAAAAUGUGUGUUUCAAUAAAGAGCAUUCUUAUAAAAGUACUUAGUCACCAGCGAUUUUCAUCUAUUAAUGUCGACUUUGAUAUAAAAUAGUAAAAUUGAAGGUAUGUAAAGCAACUAGAGUUUGUAAUUUGAUUGGGUAAUUGAGGGCAUUUAUCCACUAAUGUUUACUUUCACGUCAAAAUACAGGUUCAUUACUUAAGUACGAUUUAACAAGAAAAGAAAAGAAAGGAUGAAAAGUGAAAAAAGCAGGAAUUUUCUCCGAGUUUUCUAACCUUGUUUGUAUUAGUUAUAAGGUGUGGUUUCAAAUUAAGUUUUUACAUUUGUUGAUUAUAAUAGUUACAUGAGAAGCAUAAUUAGAUUAAAGAUAAUAUAUGAUAUAGAUUUGAUCAAAUAUUAAGAUGAUAAACUUUUCUUUAUUUGAUAUUAUAAAGUACUAAAAUUAGAAUUUAAAGUUUGAAUGAUGAUUAUCUUUGAUGUAGAACGAGGACCCCGUGGGCUUAGGCAUCCAUCAUCCCCAUCUUAAGAAAUUAUUUAGAGUCGAAUUUAGGAUAAAUGUUAUAAUAUAGUUUUAUUCAUAGUUUACCUAUUUUAAAUGCGGAUUUUAUUAUUAUUAUUGCCUGUCAUCAGGAUGCGUGAUAGUUGGCCAAAAGAAAAUUGUUUCGAGGCAUUAUUAUUGAAGAUUUGCAGACGGAUUCUCAGUAGAGCCUCGUGGAUCUAUCCGUAAGUCAUUUUCGGAAACUAAUUCCAAUGAUGUCGGGCGCCGAACAUUGGGUCGGACAUUGUCCGGGCUUUGGGGGCGGUUGAACACAACUCCAGUUCAUUUAGAGUUUUUCUUGUGUUUUUUGUUUCCUUGUUGGGGUAGGACAUUUUAACCUAUAAAUAGGCAUACCUAGGAUUUUUGUAAUAUGAAUUUUCUCUUAUUAAUCAAAUAUUGGUUGGUUUUAUCCAAUUGUUGAGAAUUUCCUUUUGUCUCUUUCGAAUAUUUGAUUUGUGUCUUGGAGUUUGAUCGUGAAUCGAUCGCCCUUGUUCUUUUCUAUAAAUUUCGUUCAUGAAUCAAAUUCUAUUUUUACGCUUCUGCUAUCGCAUCAAUCGCUUUCAUGCCUUAAACAUGAGUUUGAAUAUGUUGACACUUCAAUACUUUUAUUUGUUUACUUUGGUUUGUUUUUCUUUUCUUGCCUGCAAAAUAGGAAAUGAUUCAAGUGUCACAUUACUUGUUUAGUGAGGAUAACAUAUGUGCUUUGGUAUAUAUUUGUGGCUGUUUUAGUGUCAUUUUAGCUGAUAAAAUAUCGAGCCAAGUUUUUGGUUGAUUUACCAUCUGGAAUGUUGAGUAAAAAAAACACUUCUAUUGGUUUAGUUUCUGAGAUCUUAUAUAUUGAAGUGCUGUGGGAAGUCAAAACACAUUGGAAUGAAGAUUGAAAAAUCUUUGCAUGUUUAUGUGAAGAAUUUGAUGUGCUUUUAAUUAGACACGAAGUGAAACCAAGAAGAAAUGAAGCAAAAUUAAGAACGAACAAGAAAAGAGGCAAUAAAAGGAAGUCCACGGUUUAGCCGGCUAGAAAAAAGACUACACUAGCUUGACUGCCUGGCUGCAACUAGAUUCUUCAAGCUUGCAGAAACCAGCCAGAGUCGGCGUCGGUACCAGUUUUGCUCAUCAUCAUCGGCUUCCCGGCCAGUUUCUAUGGCGGUUAAGGUUUCUUCCUAGCGUUUUCCUCAAAUUUUCUCCUAAUUUUGGUGAAAUUGAAAUUUUUCCACACUAUCUAUAGCAACUUUGAAUUGAAUUGUGAACCAUAUCUUGAGAAUAUUUAUUUAAACCUACUUUUGGCCAGUAGAUGAAACCUAUGAUUUACCAUUACAUAGAGAGAAUUCUAACCUGCAUAUGAGAUACAUGUUUACUCUGCAAUCUAUUUAAACCCUUAUAAGAAGUUAUCAUCAUGUAUGAAUUUCUGACCUAUAAACGUGAACUUGUCUUCAAUUUUUUCAGCUAGAAAUCAUCAACAGCUUGUCAUUUUUGCUUCUUACAAACUUAAUAGAAUUUCCAAGCUCUCGAUAUGAUGCCUGGUUGUUUGUGUGACAAUUACUUACAUUUUCCUCUGUUCAUUUAUAGUCGCCUUAACCAAAAUUUGCUUGGCAAGUUUCCCUUGAUUCCAAAAUCAUGGAGUCUUCCCCUUCUUCCACUAUUUCCAUUUAUUACUAAAAGUUUUUUUUUCUUUUUUUUUUGUCAUAACGGCAUAUCUAGCAUAGUCUAAUCCACUUCUACUCUUGGGGGAACCUAUUCUACGGGGUGGCUCAACUGAAUUGGGGAAACCUGACGGGAACUGAACUACUAUCAGACCAGACGGGUGCAUCACACACCCGUAUAGAUUUAGAACAAAUCUCAUAUUGAGACACAUUGAUGGGAGGCAAGAUUUGAACCCUUAGACUAUCCACUCCAUAAUUAAUGUGGUGGCCAACUCCUCUAGAGGGAGUUGGUUUUAGGUCAAUUUAUUACUAAAAGUUUGUUUUAGGUCAAUUUGCAGCAUCUAUACUAUCCUAAUCUAUAAAGAAGGAAAAUCUAAUUGAGUUGUAUAGGGAUUAUAUAGAAGACAGACCAAUCUAGACCAAAAAGGCAAUCUGGCACAUCCUUUAAAUUUUUUAACUAAAAGGGUGCGAAGCUUGAACCUCCAAUCUACGACCCAAAAUGGGAUUUUUAAUCCAAAUUGACGUAUACCAAGCUGCCUGCGGCACCUGUUGCAAAAUCAGCCAUAUCUAUCCUUCCUACCAUUAGUUACAUAAAAAGGUUCAGGUAGACAGAUUCCAUGUUUAAACAGUAAAGCAAACAGAUGUGAUAAUGAAUAUGUUGUGCUACCAUGGACCAUUGCAGUCUGUCAGGAAUAGGUCGCAUAAACUAUUGCAGUUUGUCACUGAUAGACAUUAGACCCUAUAUCAGACACUAGGAAUUAAUUAAUCAGGGAGGCCUUAUUGCAAAUCGCUUAGAGACUUUAUCCUCUGCAGUCUUGUCUAAAAGCGGUACACUGAGGAAGGAAGCGACAGCACCUCUCACCAGUAAAAUCUUGAGGUCACAAGUUCGAGUCUCCGUUUCGCUGGAUUUCUCCGCGCACUUAACGUGUUCGGGCCGGAUUAGGGCGCCGGGCCCGGACCGCAGAGAAUUAGUCAGACCCCGUAAGGAUUGACCCAAACACCCCUGUGUUGACCAAAAAAAAAAAAAAAAAAAAGGAAGGAAGCUUAGCUAGGAACCUCUGUACAUUUACCCUUUGCAAAGCUUUCGGACAAGGUAAAUUUAUUUGCACGGUUAGUCUACCUUUACCCACUCUUGCUUUCGUCUCUUUCCAAACUCGAUGGAAAGGCCUGCCAUUAGCUGCUUGAAAGCGGCAGCUUAUUCUGUGCUCCACCAAAAUAUAUUUUCAGGUGUCCUUCUUUUUCUUUUUUAUUUUUUAUUUUUUGGUCAUCUAAAUUAGCUUUUUAGACUUGAAAAGACCAAUUCACAAUGAAAGUUCAUUUAAAUAACAUUAAACAAAAAAGUUAAAACUCUAAAAUCCAUAUUAAACUAAAUCCGCAAGUAGCAAAAAUAAAAAAUAUGAUUGCAUGUUUUCCAGCUCAACACUAGUACAGUGAAAGGGCCUCAAUCGCUACUAUUGUAGAAGGCUCACAUGCUUCAAAGCGGUUAAGGUUUCACAUUUCCUCUUCCUUUAAAUUUUUAAAGAGAAUGUUCCAUGGGGAAAUUCAGGUUCGUCGUCUUUUUGCAGAAACAUCAUGUAGCAAGACCUGUAUUGAGAGAAAUAGAUCUCAGCUUGAAAAAAUGUCGAUUAUAGCAGUGGAGGAAUCAAGGGUUCAUGAAGGUUGAUUGGAAAGACAUUCUCCAGGGGGAUUUAUCCUGUUGAUUGUUCGCUGAACUCUAUUUCCUCAACUCCAGCAGUAGCAGGUUGCUCUGACUGCUCGGAUGCCGCUGAAGAGGGUUGCCUUACCCCAGGACCUGAAGACACCUUGACCAUAGCUGGUCUUAAAAGUCGGUCCACAAGGAGAAAACCACGACGGAACUCUUCAAUUAUAACACCCUCCUUGAACUCUUCAGACUCCUCUUGGGCAAUAGCCUCGUGUAACUGAAUCACGAGAAAGAAUGCACAUGGUAAGUCACAUCACAAAAGAUGUAGUACUGCAUUUUCAUAGCAAGGAAACACUUAGUUCAACUAUCCCCAGCCAAUCAUGAUUUUAGUUUAACCUAGCUCAUCAACUUCCACGUAUACAAAGCAACUAGCACGUCAAUAGAUUUGCAGAUGCUAGCUUUCAACCAAAUGAAAGGGUCAAAAGAUCAAAGAGAGAUUUAUCCUGGAAAACAUAGCCUCAAAGUAGAGGCACCCCAGAUUUAAUUUAGCAGUAAACCAACAUGACAGAUUGCUAACACACCACACCUCUAAGUAUGUCGGUAUGUAUGUUUUUCUGUACUCUAUAUCUAGUAAGAUCAUUGUAUUAUAUGUAUUCUAUUUUUGGUCAAACAUUGUCAUAGAUAUGCAGACAGGUAAUUAGUGUUGGAACUAGUCUCAAGAAAAAUUCAGAUGAAACAAUAUGCAGAUGAUGCGGGGGUGCUUGAGCUUUUCUUUUUUGACAUUCCAGGCUGCUUGCACCACAGGAAAGAGUAAUGGCAGUUAUUCUGUCUUUUUGCAUCAGAAGAAUGUUUCUCAUAUUUGCCCCUAACAAGCUUGUCCCAUAAAAAAUGCAGUACAAGCAAACACAGUGCAUACACAGCCAAUAUUUGUCACUAAAAUCAUCAUGUGACUUUAUUAUCCAGAUUAUUCCUCAAAGUUACUUGCCAUGUUUUUAACACAGUAGGAAUAGAAAAAGCACAGGAAAGAAAAUCCAUAGCUUUACAGGUACAUAGUAACUACCAUGGAUGUUUCGAGGACUUGCAUAUGAAUGUAAACUACAGGUAAUUAUUAUCAUUAAUUUUAUGGCAACACUGCCAAAGACACCAAGAUGGGUAUGGAAUCGUUCAUUUAUGCUCAUAUCCAAGUAACAUGUCGAGAAAAUACAAUAUUGCAUGACUGACUAUUACUCUCUAAUAGUGCAUAGAAACAAAAAGAGUAUAAGAAGAGAAAAGAAAUGAGGUGUAGGGAUAUUACCACACCCAAAAGACAGUUUUUUCAACCAUGAAAGAGACUGCACCCUUCUUUCCCUCUUUUUUCUGUUCUAAGGUUCAUCAUUACCUUUAAUAUGCCCAAAACCUCAGAUUAAGUGUCGAAUACUGAUCCUAGUGUGAUGUCAUCUCUGACAUGGGUACUGCUUGGGGGAAGAAGAAUAUAUAAAAGAGACUACCAGGAUUUAGAAAAUGAAAAUAACAUUUGUAAAGGUAUUGAAGUUUCAAAUUGAGAAACAUAACAUUAACCAAGAACAAAAACUAAAAUUUCAGGUGAGCAAGGACCAGACGAAUGCUGUGAGCAUCUAUGCAUCUAUUCUCUACUUUCACCCUUAACUUCAGUAACAAAUUAGCUGUGUAUCAUUCAUUAAGCAUAUUGUGCCACGUGUAAUGGAUCAUUCAUCUCACCAAUUAGGAUUGUCAUCCAAUUUCAAUCCCAAACACCUUUCCAUAAAUACAUUUAAGUUGCUAUAAGCAUAAAGACAAGGUUAAUGCUGAAUCACUUCUAAGCACAAGCUUUUUCUCCAUAUGCAUCAUCAUUUUAAUUAAAUAAGCAAUGCACCAUCUUUUGUAGAUGAACAGAAAAGAUGCUUUUAAAACCCUACAUGGCUGACAAAUUGGGCUGCACCAAAACUUAAUGCGUAGUAUUGGCUCCAGGUCUAAAUGGAACAUUUUUAAAACAAAAAAAAAAAAAAACUAAGAUCAUGUGGAACAUAGCGAUAAAUAAUAUGAUCACUGUGUACAGCAACUCAACAUCCAAUUGUUCUUGAGAAAAAUUUGCUGGACAGAGGUGGUGGUGCAAGUAAGAGGGGAAUUACCUUAACCCACGAUCUAAGUCUAGGCCUUUAGGGAAAACCAAGAGAAAACCUUGAGUGUGUUUGGACAGCCAAUUAUUUGGCCAAAUAUAUUUACUGACAUCACUAUUACAAUUUCUAAUACACCUUUUUAUCUUCCCAAUUACCUUUUUAUCUCACAUACAUCACAUCACAAAAAGUGCUACAGUAAAAAUAUUUCAAAUAACUUACAAUCCAAACACAUUACUUGAAUAAGGGGCUAAUUUAUCACCAACCCCGAAUUUCUAUGAUAUUACCUAAAAGAAGACAGAGUUUCAUUAAAGAUCAAAAUCACAUCACAAACCCAGAAAGGCUAGAUUUAUAGUAGUCCAACUCCAGAGAAGAGCCUCUAUCUACUUAGUUUUCCAAUUGUUCCUUCCAAAACUUUAACUUAUGCGAUGAGAUUGAGAACAAAAGAUAACAGCUAUUGAUGACGUAGAGAAGAGAAUGCAGCGAGAAAGAACAGUGGCAACACUAGAUUUGGAUAUGUACAUUUGGAAAAAC